AGGAUGAGGACCUGCCUACUCCAUCUCCCAAGGCGUCGCCUGUCCUACAAAGGCUUCGCAAAGGACCACGGCCUCAAGUCCCUCUUCCGAGCGUUCCAGAAGGAGAAGUGCACCAUCAACCUGUUGCACGUCAAGUGUUUUUAGAAGCCCCUCCUGCUGUGAAUGUCUCCGUGUCUGAAGCACCAGCUGCUGAAGACAAUCCGGCUGCAUCAACCAAUGACGAACAUCAAGACAAUCGUGUCCCUACUCCACCUAUUCCUGAAGAAGCUGUUCAUGAAGUGAACGUGUCUGUGCCUGACCCUCCAGCUCAACAAGUGGAGGUUGAAAACCUUGAGGCUGCCACCACCAACACCAAUGAAGCCAAUGACAUAGUCAUGGCUGAAGCUACUGUGGAGCCUGUCCCCAGCACCGUACCAGAAGUCAAUGCUGAAAAUGCUCCUGAAGCUUCUGUUAUGCAGCACAAAGCCACUAUUGCUGCCACUGCUCCUGUUCCGCCACCAAGGCCCUAUACAAUUGAGCAAGCAUACAACCAUGGCAAGCUAAUCACAGUAAGAUGGCCCGUUCUGGUCCCUCCGCCUAAUGUCUCUGGUCCUUAGUUUGACUAUCACAUUGAGCAUAGGCCUCAGGUCCAUAAGCCAAAGCCAAGACUGCCAAGGUUUCCAGGUACUGCCACAUCUGUCGGGUCCUUCAAUGCAAAUGGCUUCAAAAGCCACAACACAUUCUUUGACAGCUCAAAGAACCCCUACACAAAGCCAAGAAUAUCAUCAGAUCAUUUUUGGAGUCAUCAGCAAUGAAGCUAUUACUCCUGUAUUCUGUAUGGUCAAGGGCGCAUUUUCCCUCAUAUGCGCCUCGACAGUGAAGCCAUUGCAGGCCUACCAUGCUUAGAAGAAGCACUAGACUGCUUUUGUGAUGCUGGUCUGCUCAGUUUUGUGACAGACAAAGAACAUUGGAAUGAAGAACUUUUGCUUCAAUUCUAUGCUACGCUCCACAUUCGCGGUUAUAACAAAGAUACGAAGACAUGGAUUCUCGAGUGGAUGACAGGAAAUGUUCAUCAUGAAGCCAAAGCUCUUGACAUCCUUGAGCUUACAGGCCUAUCCACUCCAGGAGAGCUUUAUGAACCUGGCUGUCAAAACCACCACAAUGCAUUGGCGAGCAUCUUCCACAAGCCUGAACCCAACAUGAGCCAGAUGUUGAGCAUGAUGAAGCCAUUGCCUCAUGAAGCUGAAUACCCAAAGGAGUUCUUUGUUGAUGACCUUGAGUAUCUGUCGCGCACCAUAUAUCACAUCAUCAGGCGGACUCUAUGGCCUAUCAAAGGACAUUCAUCAGCUGCCAAACUCGAAGGAGCCAUGAAGACAUUGGUCUUUUACAUCCUCAAUGGCAUCAGCUUCAAUGCACAAGAUUUCUUCAUCAGGCAACUGGCUGCAUCUGGAUCUGACCUUUUUGGCCUGAAAUUCUAUGCUCCAUGGGUCAUGCGCCUCAUAAAGCAACACUCUGUUGUCAACUAUCAGCCCUCUGCUCGCAAUCAUGUGAUCUUCCUACCAGAGGUUGAUAUGUCAGUUGAAGCCAUAUACCCUGAACCUGCAAAGAAGCCUCUUUGUCUUCAAAAUGCUGAACAUCAAAGCUUCACUCAGCCUAUGGAAGGAAUCCAAGCUGUCACGCGUGUCUAUCCGAUGGCUGGAAAUACUCGUCUGCCUCAUCGUGCGCCAACUGAAGCUACUGAGAGCACAAUUGCUCAAAGGCCAAAGGAGCGCUCUCGGGUCCUCAAUGACCGAGAACUUCUUGUGGCUCUGCAUCAGAAACAUGAUAAGCAUCAUUUCUGGCUCAAGCGUCAGAUGCAAAGUCUCUUGGUGGAUGUAAAUCGCAUUCGCAAUCUUGCCACCAAGAAUGCAUUUGUCACUCAUGAAACUUGUCGGCGAUCAUGGAAGAGUUUGACCCUGCUCAGUGCUGAAGCAGAUCUUCAAGACGAUGGCUUCACUGAGAGAUUCAAGUUUGACUCCACUCCUCCACGGAAUGCUGUCCUAUGUAGAACUCCAUCUCUUGAAGACUCUGACUAUUCUUCCUCCGUGGAAACCGUGAAUGCCAAUGUGAUCGAUGAUGAAGAUGAUGCUACUUCACCACCCGCUACUUCUGCACGCAUCGACACUGCACCAAGUUCAUCUGCACCACCAAACAACAACGACAACCCUGCUGCUUCAACUGCUCCUCAUGAGGACGAGUAGAUGCUCUAUGUCUUCAAACCUUUUUGGUCAUUACUGACAAAAGGGGGAGAAGCGUAUGAGUUUGAUAGUCUUCAAGCGGGUUCAUAUGGGCGGUUGCUUCAUAUUUUGCCUAGUGUUUACAACUCUUGCUUUUGAUACAUUUCGUUCUUUGAGUCGUAACACUUAAACUCGAUGGUCGUCUACUACUUAUUUGCUCUUCAUGUGCGAUGAUAAAUUCCGCACUUAGAUCAUUCCGCACUUAGAUCAUUCUGCAGACGUCCAUUUUUCAUAAUGCAUGUCAUUCCUUAAGUUAUAUCAUUUCAUGCAUGAUGAAUUAUCUUCAUAAGUUGAAGAGGAUCUCCACAAGUAAAACCUGCCAUGUGCAUUUGCAUUCCAAAAGCAAAUCAUCUAUAUGCACAUCUUCAGGGGGAGCCCUUGCCACUUAUGAAGACAAUACCCUAUCCUUUACAAUUUCACAUACUUCUUUCCCGUUGAAAACUUCAACCAGUUUGUCAUCAAUCACCAAAAAGGGGGAGAUUGUAAGUGCAUCUAGUGCCACCCCUAGUUGGUUUUGGAGUAUUGACAACAAAGUUGGUUGAGGGACUAAUGCGUUUGUGAGAAUUGCAGGAUAACGCAGGUAGUGUCCCUCAUUGAUUCGGUUUACCUACCGGAGACGACCCCAAAAAAUGUAUGAAGACAUUGAAGACAAUGGUGGUAUGUGAAGAUAUUCACAUUGAAGACUAUGACAAGAGAAGACAUUGAGCGAAGACUAUGGAGCGCGAAGACUGUGUUGUUUCGUUGUUUCCUUUUCUUCUUCGUUGAGUCAUAUGAACCACCGUACUGUUAAGUGGGGUCCAAGUGAACAAAGUCAGAGUGACUGAAGUGAUGCUCAACCCAAAUCCUAUGUCUUCGAGCGAAGACAAUGAGAGCAAAUCUUAUCCAGAGCUGGAUGAGUCAGCUUUGCUUGUAGCCCAAGUAAAGUUGUCGUGUGUGUUUGAAAUCUGACCGUUGGAACACGUGUCAGUUCCUUAGUGACCCAGGGUCAUUUCGGACAUAUCAGGUCGGGUUGCCUUGUGGCUAUAAAUAGCCCACCCCCUACACCAUAAAUUGGUGGCUGCUCAGAGUUAGUUUACGGCUUUUGUCAUUUUGAGAGCAACCCACCUCGAAGCCUUUGAGAGAGAAAUCCUUGCGAGGACAAAGCCCAAACACCCAGAGCCAAAGAGUGUUAGGCAUCACUGAAGUCUGUGUGACCUGAAGACUUAUUACACUUGAGGACUGUGUAUCCUCCAGCCGGUUAGGCGUCGCGUUCUGAGCAUCCAAGAGUCAUUGUGGAUUGCCGGUGAACGAAGUCUGUGAAGGUUUGGAAGUCUACCUUGAAGACUUACCAGAGUGAUUGGGCGAGGACUGUGUGUCCUUAGCUCAAGGGGAAUAAGGUGAAGACGCGGUCUUCUGAGUUGAAUCUCAGCCUCCCUAACCAGAUGUACAGUUGUCACAGCAACUGGAACUGGUCCAACAAAUCCUGUGUCUUCAACAAGUGACUGGUUCUAUCCCUUCCCUCCUUUACUUUGAGUUUGUCUUCAUGAAGUCAUUGCUUAUUUGUCUUAUCUAUUUGACUUCAUCGCUUGACUACUAUCGUUGAUUGGCUUCGUACUAUCUUCCAUCCUGAUCCUUACUACCUUGCUGCUAUUAGUCUUUGUACGUUCACAUUAUUGCAUACUUGACUAUGGCUUGCUCGUUGUAGUUUAUCUUCCGCUGCAUAUCAAUUAGGUCAUUUCUAUUGUUUGUCUUCGAAACUUCCACGUUUUGAAGACUUUGAUAAAAAUCGCCUAUUCACCCCCCCUCUAGUCGAUAACUAGCACUUUCAACUACCAUCACAGAAGAAGACUCAAACCAGUCCAGCUCAGUGGCAUGUCAAGUGUUCCCUGAAGACAAUCCUUCUGUGACAGUCCCAGUGUCUGAAGCUAAUGCUUCUGAAGACAUUCUGGCUGCAUUAGCUGAUGAAAGACAAUGAUAAGAAGAGCGUGUUGCUACUCCCCCUACCACCCAAGAAGUUGUUCUCGAGGAGAACGUGUCUGUGCCCGACCCUCCACCUACUCAAGUGGAGGUUGAGAAUCCUGAGGCGGUCACCAACAACACCACUGAAGCUAAUGAUGUUGUCAUGGCUAAAGACAAUGUGGCGCCUGCAAUAAACACUGUGCUUGAAGCCAAUGAUGCACCUGCCACUAAUGUGCAGCCUGACGCCAUUGCCAAUGCCUCUGCUCCUGUCCCGCCUCCAAGGCCUCAUACCAUUGAGCAAGCAUUCUAUCAAGGCGAGCUGGUCACAGUGAGAUGGCCAAUUCUGGUUCCUCCGCCUGCUCCUGGACCUCAAUUUGAUUAUCAUGUGGAGCACAGGCCACAGGUUCAGAAGCCAAAGCCCAGAUUGCCACAGUUUCCAGGUACUGCAUCAACACCAGGCUCGUUCAAUGUCAACGGUUUCAUUGCACACAACACCUUCUUCGAUAACACCAAGAACCCAUAUUCCAAGCCAAGGAUAUCAUCUGAUCGGUUCUAGAGUUAUCAGCAGCGCAGCUACUACUCCUAUAUUCUAUACAAUCAGGAGUGCAUAUUUCCUCAUAUGCGUCUGGAUUGUGAAGCCAUUGCUGGCCUGCCCUGCUUAGAAGAAGCACUUGACUGUUUCCGAGAUGCAGGCCUGCUCCAGUUUGUUACUGAUAAGGAGCAUUGGAAUGAAGAGCUUCUGCUACAAUUUUAUGCAACUCUCCACGUUCGCGGCUACAACAGGGAUCCAACGACAUGGGUCCUUGAGUGGAUGACAGGCAAUGUCCAUCAUGAAGCCAAAGCCUUUGAUCCCAUUGAGCUUACCGGCCUGUCCACUCGAGGUGAACUGUAUGAACCUGGUUGUCAGCUUCACCGCGAUGCAUUGGAGAGCAUCUUUCAGAAGCCAAAUCCCAACAUGAGCCAAAUGCUAAGUAUGAUGAAGCCACUGCCCCUAGGAUGCCGAAUAUCCCAAGGAAUUCCUUGUUGAAGACCUAAAGUAUCUGGCCCACACCAUCUAUCACAUCAUUAGGCAAACUCUAUGGCCCAUCAAAGGGCAUUCCUCCUCAGCAAAGCUUGAAGGUGCAAUGAAGACAUUGGUCUUCUAUAUUCUCAAUGGCAAAAGCUUCAAUGCUCAGGAUUUCUUCAUUCGCCAAUUUGCUGCAUCUAGCUCUGACAUCUUUGGUCUGAAAUUCUAUGCUCCUUGGAUUAUACGUUUGAUCAAGCUUCACUCUGCCAUUGACUAUCAUCCCUCUGCACGUAACCAUCUCAUAUUUCUACCAGAGGUUGAUAUGUCCAUUGAAGCCAUUUACCCAGAGCCUGCCAAGGAAGCACUAUAUCUUCACAAUGCAGAUCGUCAGAGCUUUUCCCAGCAUGUUGAAGGUGUUCAGGUUGCUUCUCAUGUUUAUCCUCUGGCAGGCAACACUCGCCGUGCAUGCACUGAAGCCACAUAAAGUGCUAUUGCUCCAAGGCCUCGGAAGCGAUCUCGUGUGCUCAAUGACCGACAGCUUCUCGUGGCCUUGCAUUAGAAACAUGACAAGCAUCAUUACUGGAUGAAGCGUCAAAUGCAAAGCCUCUUGGUGGAUGUCAAUCACAUUCGCAAUCUUGCCACCAAGAAUGCCUUUGUCACUCAUGAAACCUGUCGGAGGUCCUGGAAGAGUCUGACAUUGCUAAGUGCUGAAGCUGAUCUUCAAGACGAUGGCUCACCAAGAGAUUCAAGUUCGACUCCACUCCUCCCAGGAAUGCUGUCUUGCGUCGAACCCUGUCCCUUGGAGAUUCAGAGUACUCCUCCUCUGCAGCAACUGUAAAUGCCAGAGUCCUGGAUGGCGCAGAUGAUGCUACCUCACCACCUCCAACCUCAGCGCGUAUCGACACUGCACCAAGCUCUUCUACACCACCAAACCUCAACAACGACCCUACUGCUUCACCUACUCCUCAUGGGAACGAGUAGUGACUAUGUCUUCAAACCUUUUUGGUUCUUACUGACAAAAGGGGGAGAAGCAUAUGUUGAUAGUCUUCAAGCGGGUCAUAUGGGUGGUUGAUAUACUUUUUCCUAGUGCUUACAACGCUUGCUUUUGAUACAUUUGGUUCUUUGAGUUGUAACACUUGAACUUGAUGGUCGUCUGCUACUUUUUCUGCUAUUAUGUGUGAUGCGACGAUAAAUUCCGCAUGUGCGAUGAUAAAUCCCGCAUGAAGUCAUUGGUAGACAUCCAUUUUUCAUUAUGCAUGUCAUUAUUCCUGUAUAUCUAUUCAUGCAUGGUGUAUUGUCUUCAUAUGGUGAAGAGGAUCUCCACAAGUACAACCUGCCAUGUGCAUUUGCAUUCCAACGCAAAACAUUUAUAUGCACAUCUUCAGGGGGAGCAUUUUUUCCAUCUAUGAAGACAAUAUCUUAAUCCUUUACAACUUCACAUACUUUUAUCCCCGUUGAAAACUUCAACCAGUUUGUCAUCAAUCACCAAAAAAGGGAGAUUGUAAGUGCAUCUAGUGCCACCCCUAGUUGGUUUUGGAGUAUUGAUGACAAACCUGGUUGAGGGACUAAUGUGUUUGUGAGAAUUGCAGGAUAACACAGGUAGUAGUCCCUCAUUGAUUCGGUUUACCUACCGGAGAUAACCCCUAAAAAUGUGUGAAGACAUUGAACACAAUGGUGGUCUGUGAAGCCAUUCACGUUGAAGACUAUGACACGAGAAGACAUUGAGUGAAGACUAUGGAGCGCAAAGACUUAGUUAUUUUGUUGUUUCCUUUUCUUCUUUAUUGAGUCAUAGGAACCACCGCACUGUUAAGUGGGGUCCAAGUGAACAAAGUCAGAGUGACUGAAGUGAUGCUCAACCAAAUCCUAUGUCUUCGAGCGAAGACAAUGAGAGCAAAUCUUAUCCAGAGUCGGAUGAGUCAGCUUGACUUGUAGCCCAAGUCAAGCUGUCGCGUGUGUUUGAAAUCUGACUGUUGCGACACGUGUCAGUUCCUUAGUGACCCAAGGUCAUUUUGGACAAAUCAGGUCGGGUUGCCCAGUGGCUAUAAAUAGCCCACCCCCUACACCAUAAAUUGGGGGCUGCUCAGAGUUAGUACACGGCUUUUGUCAUUUGAGAGCAACCCACCGCCGAAGCUUUCGAGAGAGAAUCCUUGCGAGGACAAAGCCCAAACCACCCAGAGCCCAAAGAGUGUUUGGAAUCACUGAAGUCUUUCUGUCCGCGUGAUCUAAAGACUUCUUACACUUGAGGACUGUGAAUCCUCCAGCCGGUUAGGCGUCGCGUUCUGAGCAUCCAAGAGUCAUUGUGGAUUGCCGGUGAAUGAAGUCUAUGAAGGUUCAGAAGUCUACCUUGAAGACUUACCAGAGUGAUUGGGCGGGGACUAAGUGUCCUUAGCUCAAGGGUAAUAAGGUGAAGACGAGGUCUUCUGAGUUGAAUCUCAGCCUCCCUAACCAGACGUACAGUUGUCACAACAACUGGAACUGGUCGAACAAAUCCCUGUCCUUCUGAAGCCACUGGUUCUAUCUCUUACUUCUCUUUACAUAUAGUUUGUCUUCGUGAUGUCAUUGCCUGCUUGCAUUAUCUGUUUGACUUCACUAUGUGACUACCUGUUCUGAUUGGCUUCAUACUAUUUUCCAUCCUGAUCUUUACUACCUAGCUGCUAUUAGUCUUUGUGCUUUCACUUCAUUGAAUACUUGACUAUGGCUUGUCUAGCGUAGUCUAUCUUCCACUGCAUAUGAAUAGUGUCGGUUCGGUUAUUUGUCUUCGAAACUCCCAUGUUUUGAAGACUUCCAUAAAAAAUCGCCUAUUCACCCCCCCUCUAGUCGAUAACUAGCCCUUUCAAGGGCAUUUUGAGGAAGCCCAUCGUAGGAAUAUACAAGCCAAGUUUUAUAAUGAAAAAUUCCCACUAGUAUAUGAAAGUGAUAACAUAUGAGAGUCUCUAUAUGAAGAACAUGGUUCUACUUUGAAGCACAAGUGUGGAAAAGGAUAGUAACAUUGCCCCUUUUCUAUUUUCUUUUUUCUUUUUUUCUUUUAGGACUUUCUUCUUUUUUUUUCUUUUUUUUCUUUGGCCUUUUUUUUCUUUUUGGCCUUUCCUUUUUUUAAUUUGGGACAAUGCUCCAAUAUGAUGAUCAUCACACUUCUAUUUAUUUACAACUCAUGAAUUACAACCCAAAACUAGAACAAGAUAUGACUCUAUAUGAAUGCCUCCGGCGGUGUACCAGGAUGGGCAAUGAAUCAAGAGUGACAUGUAUGAAAAAUUAUGCAUGGUGGCUUUGCCACAAGUAUGAUGUCAACUACAUGAUCAUGCAAGGCAAUAUGACAAUGAUGAUGCGUGUCAUGAUGAUGAACGGAACGGUGGAAAGUUGCAUGGCAAUAUAUCUCGGCAUGGCUAUGGAAAUGUCAUAAUAGGUAGGUAUGGUGGCUGUUUUGAGGAAGAUAUAAGGAGGCUUAGGUGUGAUAGAGCGUAUCAUAUCAUGGGGUUUGGAUGCACCGGCGAAGUUUGCACCAACUCUCAAAGUGAGAAAGGGCAAUGCAUAGUACCGAAGAGGCUAGCAAUGAUGGAAAGGUAAAAGUGCGUAUAAUCCAUGGACUCAACAUUAGUCAUAAAGAACUCAUAUACUUAUUGCAAAAGUUUUAUUAGCCCUCGAAGCAAAGUACUACUACACAUGCUUCUAGGGGGGAGGUUGGUAGGAGUUAACCAUCGCGCGCCCCCGACCUCCACUCAAGGGAAGGCAAUCAAAAGAGCACCCUAUGCAAUAAAUUUGUUACACAACUUUUACCAUGCGUGCAUGCUACGGGACUUGCCAACUUCAACACAAGCAUUCUUUAAAUUCAUAAUCACCCAACUAGCAUGACUCUAAUAUAACUACCUCCAUAUCUCAAAACAAUUAUCAAGUAUCAAAUUGAUCAUAGCAUCCAAUUCACUUCCUAUGAUAGUUUUUAUUAUACCCAACUUGGAUGCCCAUCAUUCUAGGACCAAUUUUAUAACCAUAGCAAAUACCAUUCUGAUCUAAGAGACUCUCAAAAUAAUAUAAGUGAAGCAUGAGAGAUUAAUAAUUUCUACAAAAUCAAGCCACCUUCGUGCUCUAAAAGAUUUAAGUGAAGUACUAGAGCAAAACUAUCUAGCUCAAAAGAUAUAAGUGAAGCACAUAGAGUAUUCUAAUAAAUUCCAAUCAAGUAGGUUUCUACCAAAAGGUGUGUACGGCAAGGAUGAUUGUGGUGAUCUAAAAAGCAAAUACUAAUAUCAUACAAGACGCUCCAAGCAAAACACAUAUCAUGUGGCGAAUAAAAAUAUAGCUCAAAGUAAAGUUACCGAUAGACGAAGACGAAAGAGGGGAUGCCUUCCAGGGCAUCCCAAGCUUAUGCUUUUGGUUAUCCUUGAAUAUCUUGGGGUGCCAUGGGCAUCCCCAAGCUUAGGCUCUUGCCACUCCUUAUUCCAUAGUCCAUCAAAUAUUUACCCAAAACUUGAAAACUUCUCAACACAAAACUCAACAGGAAAUCUCAUAAGCUCCGUUAGUGCAAGUGAUAGAGGCGGGGGUGUCCCGAUCUUUCGAUGAGAUUAUAACGAUCGAUGGUGGAGACGACUUUGACAAUCCGACUACAAACAUGCACGACGUUGCGCCUUAGCAAUCGCUAAACCAACUUCGAGAGGUUAUUGGCCACGCCGAAGCACGAUCAACCUGACCACGAAGAUCUAUUCCUGCAAGCAACCGAAGAACAAGCAAGAAUACGAUAAAAGCAAUCUGAAUAUUGCGAGUAUAUAUGAAGUAUUGAUAAAGAUGGGGAUCCGUAAGCGGUCUUGGUCUGGUCGUUGGACAUAAACGAAGUACACAAAGUUGCAAUGGCUAACUUUUAACUAAACAAAUCCCAAGGAAAAAGCUACUAGAUGGAUCUACUUAUAUAGGAGCAAGGGGUGGCGGCCAAGGAGGUGGGAGGACGUCCCAAGGCAGCUUAAAAGUAACCCUAGGUCGUACAAGGCUCAUGGGCCCAAUUGGAGGUGAUGCAACACCUUUGAACUUGUUGUUUGAUUCGGAUUCUGCUGCAGCGUCAGAUUGUUUCGUCGAUAUCUUAAUGCUCCGGACGAAUUUGAAGGUGAAUCCAAUUGGGUUGAAAAGAGCACAAAAUCUAGUUUCCAACAAAAAAAGAAUCACCCAAUUCGGAGUUCGUAUGAAAAAGUUGUUGGCGUUUUGAGUCAGGUAUGUCUGUGCAGUCCGAAUCUGAAUCCAGAACUUGAGAAACUUGGACUCUAUCUCCUCUUGGCCCAAAAGUGACGUGAGAGGACUUUUUGAACAGAACCCAAACUUCUCCUUUUGCCUUAUCUUCAUAUGUGGAUUGUACAAAUGUCCCAUACACCUGCUAUUAGACAAAACACAAAAGUCUGUGAAGUAUUUUUGUUCUGGAUAACAUAAAUACAUUAUUGUAUAGUUUGCACUAGAAAUCACCUGACAAAUAUGCAUGCAUCCAAUAUUUUUGAUCAUAUCCGAGGUAGUCAUGUCCUCAUCAGCAAGAAAUAAAAACCACCCCAUAACGUAUUGUAAUGAACUCAUUCUUUAUUUAUAUUGGUGUUAAACCUACUGUAUUCCAACUUCUCUAUGGUUAGCCAUAGAAGCAUCAAAAUAAGCAAACAACACACGAAAAACAGAAUCUGUCAAAAACAGAACAGCCUGUAGCAAUCUGUAACUCUCGAAUACUUCUGAAACUCUAAAAAUCCUACCAAAAUAGGAAGUCCUGGGAAAUUUUUCUAUUGAUCUACAUCAAAAAGAAUCAAUGCAAAAGCACGUUUCUGUGAAUUACUAAAAUUAUUUUCGUGCGUGCAAAAUUUCUGUUUUUCAGCAGAAUCAAAUUAACUAUAACCAUAGGUUAUCCUACAGGUUCUACUUGGCACAAACACUAAUAAAAACAUAAAAACACAUCCAAACAGAAGGUAGAUGCUAAAUUUAUUACUAAACAUAAGCAAAAACAAAAAACAUAAAUAAAAUUGGGUUGCCUCCCAACUAGCGCUAUCGUUUAACGCCCCUAGCUAGGCAUAAAAGCGAGGAUAGAUCUAAGUAGUGUCAUCUUUGGCACUCAAUUCAUAAGUAGCUCGCAUGAUAGAUUCAUAAGGUAAUUUGACUUUCUUUCUUGGAAAGUGUUCCAUGCCUUUCCUUAAUGGAAAUUGGAAUCUAAUAUUCCCUUCCUUCAUAGUUCUAAGCUAAGGUCUACCAAGAAUAAUAGGACAAGAAAGAUUGCAAUCUAUGUCAAGAACGAUAAAAUCUAGGGGCACAUAGUUCCUAUUUGCAACAAUAAGAACAUCAUUGAUCCUUCCCAUAGGAUUUUUAAUGGUGGAAUCCGCAAGGUGCAAAUUUAAAAAGUAAUCAUCAAGAUCAUGGAAACCUAGAAUAUCACAUAAAGUUUUCGGAAUUGUGGAAACACUAGCACCUACAUCACACAAAGCAUAACACUCAUGAUCUUUAAUUUUAAUCUUUAUAGUAGGUUCCCACUCAUCAUAAAGUUUUCUAGGUAUAGAAACUUCCACAUUAAGUUUUUCAUCAUAAGAUUGCAUCAAGGCAUCAACAAUAUGUUUGGUAAAGGCUUUAUUUUGACUAUAAGCAUGAGGAGAAUUCAAAACAGAUUGCAACAAGGAAAUACAAUCUUCUAAAGAACAAUUAUCAUAAUUAAAUUCCUUGAAAUCCAAUAUAGUGGGUUCAAUGCUAUUUAAAGUCUUGACCUCUCCAAUCCCACUUUUACCAAAUUUAGCAUCAAGAUCGAACUCUGAAUCAUUGGGACGCCUUUUAACUAAAGUUGACCCAUCUCCAGUCCCAUCAUUAUUAAGAUUCAUAUUGAAAACAAAGAUUUAAUAGGGGACACAUCAAUAACUUUUAGAUCUUCAUCAUUAUUUUUCCCUAACUCUUCUGGUUUGGCAGCCAUCUUAUUGAACAAGGUGGACUGCUUAUCAGAAAUUUGGGCUAUUGAUUUUUCAAGACGAGUAAUUUGAGAGUUCAAACCAUAAAAUUCCUUAGACAUAUCAUCAAGCUCUUUGUUCAUAUACCCCAUAAAGCUUUUUUGUUCUUUAAGCUCUUUUCUAAAUAAACUAUUAUGCUCAAAUUGUAAAGUCAUGAAACUUCUAACGUUUAAUUCAAUCUCAUCCAACCUUCUAAAAUGAAGGUAGGUGUUCUUAGGCAAAGCCAUAAGGGAAAACAGGCACACAGGCAAACAAAAAGGCAAGCGAAAGAGAGAGGAGAUUAGGAAAGAGAGGGCGAAUAAAACGGCAAGGGUGAAGUGGGGGGAGAGGAAAACGAGAGGAAAAUGGCAAAUAAUGUAAGUGCGAGGGAGAUGAGUUUGUGAUGGGUACUUGGUAUGUCUUGACUUGAGCGAAGACCUCCCCGACAACGGCGCCAGAAAUCCUUCUUGCUAUGUCUUGAGCUUGCGUUGGUUUUCCUUGAAGAGGAAAAGGUGAUGCGGCAAUAGUAGCAUAAGUAUUUCCCUCAGUUUUUGAGAACCAAGGUAUCAAUCCAGUAGGAGGCUCCUCAAAAGUCCCACGCACCUACACAAACAAACAAGAACUCGCAACCAACACAAUAAAGGGGUUGUCAAUCCCUUCACGGCCACUUGCGAAAGUGAGAUCUGAUAGAGAUAAUAUGAUAAGAUAAAUAUAUUUUUGGUAUUUUAUGAUUUAGAUUGGAAAAGUAAAGAUGCAAAUAAAAGUAGAUUGAAAGCUUAUAUGAUAAAAGAUAGACCCGGGGGCCAUAGGUUUCACUAGUGGCUUCUCUCAAGAUAGCAUAAGUAUUACGGUGAGUGAACAAAUUACUGUCGAGCAAUUGGUAGAAAAGAGAAUAGUUAUGAGAUUAUCUAGGCAUCACGUCCGUGACAAGUAGACCGACUCCUACCUGCAUCUACUACUAUUACUCCACACAUCGACCGCUAUCCAGCAUGCAUCUAGAGUAUUAAGUUCAUAAAGAACAAAGUAACGCAUUAAGAAAGAUGACAUGAUGUAGAGGGAUAAACUCAUGCAAUAUGAUAUAAACCCCAUCUUUUUUAUCCUCGAUGGCAACAAUACAAUACGUGCCUUGCUGCCCCUGCUGUCAUUGGGAAAGGACACCGCAAGAUUGAACCCAAAGCUAAGCACUUCUCCCAUUGCAAGAAAGAUCAAUCUAGUAGGCCAAACCAAACUGAUAAUUCAAAGAGACUUGCAAAGAUAACUUAAUCACACCUAAAAUAAUUCAGAGGAGAUUCAAAUAUUUGUCAUAGAUAAACUUGAUCAUAAACCCACAAUUCAUCGGAUCUCGACAAACACACCGCAAAAAGAGUUACAUCGAAUAGAUCUCCAAGAAGAUCGAGGAGAACUUUGUAUUGAGAUUCAAAGAGAGAGAAGAAGCCAUCUAGCUAAUAACUAUGGACCCGAAAGUCUGUGGUAAACUACUCACAACUCAUCGGAGAGGCCUUGGAGAUGAUUUAGAGGCCCUCCAUGGUUGAUUCCCCCUCCGGCGGAGCGCCGGCGAAGGCUCCAAGAUGGGAUCUCAUGGAUACAGAAGGUUACGGCGGUGGAAAUAGUUUUUCGUGGUCACUUCUGAUGUUUUCAGGGUACGUGGGUAUAUGUAGGAGGAAGAAGUAGGUCGGUGGACGCUCGAGGGGCCCACGAGGGUGGGGGGUGCGCCGGGCACCCUCAUGGCCGCCUUGCUUGUUUCUUGACUUCCACUCCAAGUCCUUUGGAUCACGUUUGUUCCAAAAAGAUCACUCCCGAAGGUUUCAUUCCGUUUGGACUCCGUUUGAUAUUCCUUUUCUUCAAAACACUGAAAUAGGCAAAAAAACAACAAUUCGGGCUCGGCCUCCGGUUAGCAGGUUAGUCCCAAAAAUGAUAUAAAAGUGUAAAGUAAAGCCCAUAAACAUCCAAAACGGGUAAUACAAUAGCAUGGAACAAUAAAAAAUUAUAGAUGCAUUGGAGACGUAUCACCGCUCCGGCUGCUCCGGCGCGUCGUAGUACUCCGCCUCCUUCUUCUUCGCCUCGUAAGCAACGAAAGAAGGCAACUGUAGCCACUCUGGCUGCUACGACAUCUAGCAGUACAACCAAAGGCGGGAGGCAAUAUAGAUUCAGUCCUUCUCUCAAGCCUCUAGAGAAGUUACCAUACGAGAUGAGCGAGGAGGAAAACAAGAAGAUCUGUUAAACCAAAGUGAAGGACUUCUUUGAAACACAAAGAGCUAAGAAACAUCCACCCCCGAAGGAGAAGAUAGAUCCGGUGAAAGCCAAGCGCACUUUGGAUGCCCUGAAGCGAGCACCACUGCCUCCGCCGCAAACCAACUAUGACCGCAUUAUUGAAAGGACAUAUAAGGAAGAAGAGCGGUCGGGAAGUACUUGCAGUGAUCGAAGGUUAGCAGAACGAAGAAGUGGGGAAAAAAUUCGCCAGCUCGACGAACAAGCGAAGCAAUUGUGCCCCCCGCUCAAGGUGUCUAGCGAUAUCGUCGCUAAUCAUCCAGGGAUGGUGCCCGGUACCAAUCCCGGAGACUACAUGCCCGAUGAUGCACUUUUUGAUACAAUGGAGGUGGACGGAUUCAAAUACCGGCACGGGAAGCCUGUCAUCAAAUCUGGUCAUCCUUCUCUAACAACGAUGAUGUGAAGAUUCCAUGAUUGGUACAUGGACAUCUACAACAAGUCUGGGAAGGAUACUUUGACGCUGAGAGUUAAAGAGGAGCACAACCUCGUUGGAACUGAUUUGUUCUCUGUUCCAUAUGAGGAGUUCUUCCAGUUUUUCAAUCAAAAGGCCCUCGACAAAGUAAUCAUCACUUGCUAUGAUCUGUAAGUACUACUUCUGUAAUUAACUCUCUAUAUAUAGCUCAGCUCUUUCAUUGCAUGUAUAUAUAUAUACCUAUCCUCACUAUAUUAUGCAGAUUGAAGAUCGUUGAAUGCAAGAAAAGACAAAUCGGUGAUAUUGGGUUUAUUAACACAAAUCUCAUAGAUGAAUGGAAUGUUAAACAUGAUGCCAAACAAACCGAGGCCAACUUGCUACAAUCGUUAUAUCGAAAUCAAAACAAAGAUACAAUACUCUUUUCUUACGAAUUCAAGUGAGUGUUACUGUCUUGUGCAUAUUCGGUUUCUCUUAUUACUCGAGGUUAUAGUAAUGUAAUUGAUGAGUUAUGCAUGCGUGCGCAACUUCCACUUUAUUCUGCUAGAGAUUAAGCUUGAGCAGGGACUAGUAACUGUCAUAGACUCGAAACGAAAAGAUCCCGUGGAGUAUGCGACCAUGACUAAAAUGCUUGAGAAGUAAGUUCAAUCGAUCAUUAUCGCACCAUAUCGGCAACUUUAUUCAUUUCCUGAUAUCAAGUAAUUGUUUUCUUUGUCUGGCAACGUUUGGAAAAAGUUCAUCGCAGAAGCUCCGGGACUGCCAGCGGAGCUGCGAUUUAAACACCCGAAAGUUAGUACUAGUAGCUAGUUCCGCGCAUCUCCCAUUGAUUCUAACUAGUUUCAUCAAUACCAUUUAGCAUGCUUGCUUAUCAGUUUGAUUGACCUCUAUUUUUUGUAAAGUGGUUGUGGCAGGAACCCGGGAAUAAUUACUGUGGAUACUACAUUUGUGAGUUCAUCCGCCACACGACCUGUGAGCGGGGCUACUCUAGAAAACAAUAUGAAGUGCGUAAGCAAUAAUAUUCAUAAUUUUAUUUUAUUACCAUCAUUUGUGUUGAGUUUCAUUCAUAUAUAUCUAUUGACCCCCUUCUUCAAAUUAGAUGUUUCAGAUGCGAGAUGAACUCCUACCACAAGAUCGCGUACGAGCAAUUCAAGGGGAAUUGGCGGGAUUCUUUUUUGACCACGUCAUCGAUAAAGACGGAGAAUACCAUGUGGAACUUGAGUUCAGAUGUUGGGAUUGUAAGAGAUCUUAUAUUGUAUAUAUAUAGCCAGUAGCGUCGGAUAGAUAUACGAAAACUUGUUGUUCGACCAAUCUCUCAGAGAAGGAGAGGUCGAUCACUUCUCUCUGUAUAUGUUCAUGACGAUCUUCUGAACUUAAUGGUUUACUUCAUUUUCUUACUAAGUAGCUAGCGUGUCGAGUCCUCUCUAUACGUAUAGUAUGUAGCGUCGACCAAGCACGGAGAUAAGAGAGGACACUUCUCUCUAUUAGGUAGCUAACACAAUAUAUGAAACCCCUAAAAUAACCCUACAAACCCCCCAAAACCCCCAACCCCCACCCCCUUUCAAAAAAAAACACAAAAACCCCAACCCCUGAACUGCUGACGCGUGGAUGCCUUUUGGUCCCGGUUGGUGCUACCAAUCGGGACAAUAGGCCCUCCUGCCUGGGCAAGCCGCAGCGGCCACAUGGAGCCCCAUCUGUCCCGGUUCGUAGGCGAAUCGGGACUAAAGAUAUUGAACUUUAGUACCGACCCUUUAGUCCCGGUUCGGGAACCGGGACAAAUGGGCCUUAUGAACCGGGACAAAUGGGCCUUUUUCUACUAGUGCUAGCGAGUUUAUAUUUUUUGGAUUCAUUAUCACAUUGCCAGAAAAAUCUGGAUUUAAAGUAAUCCUUACACUGAAGAACCCCUUUCGGUAAGUGAAAGAAUGACAACAUGUAUAGAACAAUAUUGUUGAGGACGGAAUUGAUCAAAAUCUAUCGCCCCCCAUAUGACAAGAGUUUGGCUUUUCAACUGGCUAGUCGUUUCUCGAGUCUAUCUUCCACAUGUUUCCACUCAGCAAGAGCAUCUAUAGCCAGGCUUCUCAAAUCCUCCUUAGACCAACCUCAAGCGCUGACCCAUUUGGUCCGCGCACGUCUGUAUGGGUCAAAACAACAGAAAUUGUGACCCAAGGAACGGGGACUACAACAGCUGUCAUCCGUGAUGAUAGAGAAAAUUUUAUAGCGGCACAAUACAAAUUCAUCCCAUUUGUUGUAGACGUAAUCACAAGAGAAGCUUUAGCUAUGAGCGAUGGUCUUGUCUUUACUAAUUCUCUUGGUGUCAAUCAGCUGUAAGCGGAGUCAGACACUAUACAAGUUAUCAACUUUUUUUUUGGGUGAUACAAGUUAUCAGCUAUUGUAAUGAUCAAAUCAGAUGGUGGGAUAGUAGCAGUUAUGUUCGCAGAGCGUGGAUUGAGCAACUCGAAAAAGCUCGGAUUCGAUUACAGAAAGUCGAACUAGAAGCAGAUGAGUAUCGAAUGAAUGGAUACUCUACUAGUACCAUGAUUGGGAGAUCAUUUUUAAGCAUUGCUAAGUGGUUCAUGGGCUCGCUAAUUUUUGUUCCUGUAAUAAAUCUUUUUUUAGUAGGUUUGGACGAGCCUUUAAGCUGGUUUGUCAGUAAGCUCAUAGAGGAUAUAAACAUAUUUUAAUUUAAUAAAACUAGUCAUAAUUACGUCUUCAACUCGCUUUAGCGUUUGUAGCCGUCACUAGGUGAUUUAUAGAUUUAGAUGUAACUUUUAUUAUUUUUGAUGAUACUAUUUGUAUUGCCUUGAUAAUUGAUAAAUAAAUUAGAAAAUUUUCCAGUAAAAUAAUAAAUAAAGCUAGCCAUGACCACCUUCACGGAAGACCAGCGAUAAAAAAUGGGCUGGUCGAGUACUCUACGACACACGAAACCGAAAUAACUAAUUAAGGAGUACUCCUUGCGGAGAUCACUCAAAUUUCCCCAGGUUGCGCGCCAUUUGUCGCAACCUGGGAGUUUUCCCUUUUUUCGUAGAUCCAUUUAUUCAAAAUGUUUUAUCUCUUAAACCGUGCGUCCAAAUCUCGAACCGCUUUCGCCGUUGGAUUCCUCGCGUCGAGAUUUUCAAAACUAGAUCCCAUGUUGAUAGGUUUUGACAAACUUUUUUUUCAUGAAAAAAUCGGACGAAAAAACCCGACGAAAAAACCGAACCGGGAACCCGGUUUUUUUCCCUUUCCGAAAGAGGCACGCCCAUGCCUCUGACGAAAUCACAACCGUGCCUCUCGCGGAAGCAAAAUCGUGCCUCUCGCGAAAGAAAAAACAGAAAACACAUUUUUUUCCCUUUCCGAAAGAGGCACGCUCGUGCCUCUCGCGAAAGCACAACCGUGCCUUUCGCAGAAGCAAAACCGUGCCUCUCGCGAAAGAAAAAAAAACAAAAAACGUGUUUUUUUUCCGUCUCCGAGGAGGCACGGCCGUCACUCUCGCGAAAGCACAACCGUGCCUCUCGCAGAAACAAAACCGUGCCUCUCGCGAAAGGAAAAACAAACAAAAAACACUUUUUUUUCCGUUUCUAAGAGGCACGGCCGUGCCUCUCGCGAAAACAAAACCGUGACUCUCGCGCAAAAAAAUAUUAUUUUUUGAUUUUGUUUAUCGAAAAGCUAGGAAAGACCGGCGGAAAACCAAAACGUAAAAACAACCCGAGAAAAAACCCGUUUAAAAAGCUAAAAACGCGUGCGAAAAAAUAAAAAAACAAAAUCCGGAGGGAGCGCCCAGAGCGCGACACGUGGCGAAUGACUGAGAGCGUGUCAAGUGGCGCUGAUCGUUGCAGGGCUCGUGAAGGAGCGCUCGUUAAUUAGUUGCUCCCCACGAAAACAUUCAGGUGAGAGGUAGGUGCUCUCGCUGUAAGCGAGAUAUAAUUUCCCUCGGCUCACCCCUCAAAUUGUUUUUCCUCGGCUCAGACGGAAGAAGGGCCAGCGCCCACGACAUUACGCUGUAUAGUUAUCCAUUAGAAGCCCAGUAUGGCCCAUCAAACUAAAACCACACUGCAGCCAUAAUAUAGGCCCGUUGAAGGCCAGAGACAGCAAACCCCUCCAUCGCUGAAACCCUCCAAACGCUUACCGCAAUGGGCAGGAAACCCUCGGCUUCCGCCGCCGCCGCCGCUGCCGCUGCGGCUGCCGACCACGACUCCACCGUUGCCAGCGCCAAGGCCGCCGAACUCCUAGCAGCAGCCGCUGACUGGGAGGGCAUCCAUGGGCACUCCAUGUUCUUCGACGCCCUCGUUCAGCUUAUACCCCCGCGCUUCUACCUCUCCGCCGACGAUGAUGUCCGCCCCUACUACCAGGGGCUCUCCAAGGCCGCCAAGGCGGCCAUGAAGGCUCAGUCCCGCGCCAAUAUCAAGGCUGCCCGCCGAGCCCGCCUCGACCCCGCGGGCCCGCCUUCCUCCACCCUGGACCUUCUCAAGAAGUCCGUCGCCGACCAAGAGGCGGAGGAGAAGAAGGAAGAGGAGGAGGAUAACUCAGAAGACGGAAGCCAGGAGUCCGACGACGAGGCAACCUCAGAGGGUGGCGACGAUGACCAGGACGAGGAGGAGGGAGAUGAAGAGGAGCAGGCAGAGGAUGAAAAGGAGGAGAUGCAGAUGGCCCCGGCAGCAGUUGUUUCUGAAGACCGGUCGGUGACUUACGAGGAGCUGCGAGAGCGGCUUCAUCGCCGCAUUACAGAGCUCCGUGGGAAUCGGUGCACCAGGCCAGAGUUCCUGAAUAAGCCUCAGAAGGAGAAGGGUAAGAAGGGAAAGGGUGCUAAAGUGAAGGGGAAGGAGGAGGGUACAAAGCGGAAGCGUGAGGAUGGCACCGCGGAUGCGGAGGGUAAGGAUGGGAAGAAGCACAAGAAGGAAGGGGAAGAGAAGGCACCAGAUAUCAUGUAUGGCAAUGUGCUGGUUGAUCCAAAGGAAGCAAGGCGGAGGAAGAAGAGGAGGAUCAAGAACAAGAAGAAGGAGCUGGAGCAGGCUAAGCGGAUGCAGAGGGCAAAGGAGGAUCCUAAAAAGGCCACCAAGAUGGCCUGGGAUGUGGCAACAAGGCGCGCAGCUGGGGAGAAGGUGCACGACAACCCCAAGUUGAUUAAAGAGAGCAUGAAGAAGGAUAAGAAGCGGCAGGAGAAGCACGCGGAGGAGUGGAAGGACAGGCAGAGGACAGUGGACAUCAAGAAGAAGCAGAAGCAGAAUAAGCGGAAGGAGAACAUCCAGGGGCGGGCACAGGAGAAGAAGGCGCGCAAAAUAGAGAAGCGUGAGAAGAAGCUUAUGCGCCCUGGUUUUGAGGGGCGCAAGGAAGGCUAUGUCAACGAGUGACGUCUACAUUGGAGAUGAUGGUGACUGAGUACUGUAUCUGCUUUAUUUUUGCAAGGUUGCAUAUGCUGGUGUUGGUGUUGGUACUGGAAAUAGGUAUCCAGAUCAUGACUACCAUACUUAAUUAUAGCUUGAAGGUUGAAUGUUUGGCAGGUCAUCUGGAAAAGAUUUGGAGACAUUCCUUCUGCUGUAUUUUCGUUGAGCUUAGAUAAAUUUGUUGAAAAACAAACUUUCAUGUCUGGCUUCAUAAUUAUCUCUAGCACUAGACCAAGGAAAUAUUAAUGUUCUUUUAUGUUCACUGUCCGAGGAAAUGUUAAUGAUGCUUCAAUGGAUUUUGCUCUUUUCUUUGUUAUUCCUAGCAGUGGUCUGAUAGAUUAGUUAUGUCAAAUUAUGCAUCAGUGAAGAUGUUCCGGGUACAGGCUUAUCUGAAUUCUUCUUUGCUUGGUAAAUUGGAAUCCACAAUGCCCACUUCUCAUAUGUCAUGGAUACGCCACAUGUCAAUAUUCUAUAUCAAUCUUAUUUUGCAAGCUUACUGUAGUUAUGUACAGUCUGUAUUAUGGUGUUGAGUUAUACUGCAGGACGCUGAUUUGUUAGUUUACUCUCUGCAGUUAUAUCCUAGAUUAAUUUGCAGCCUUGUUAGUAAGGCUACAUGUAUACCUUUGUGUUUAUUCAUUUGUGUCCACUGUUGUCAAGGGUGAGGCACUUGUUCCCUUCCAUUUCUUGCCAGCAAAGGGGACAGACAACACCUGCAUCUAUAUAAAAAAGGCGAUUUUCGGCCUGUCUUGUAUGUGCACAUUUCUGUUGUUACAUAUUUUACCUGCUUGACAAAGUGCAAAAAAGCAAAAGGUAUCAUUAUAUAGGUACUUGGAAUGCAAGGUUAGGACCAUCUCUCUCGACAAGGUAUUCUUUCUGUUCGGCAACAAGUUUGAUAGAUUUAUAUGAAUCGUGGCGGAUGAGGGAGGAUUGAUGGAAUGUAGAUGCGCCUUCCUUAGCAAGCACUUCCUCUGAGGUGCUUUCAGAUCGCUGAUUGCUUUCUACCCUAUGCAAGAGGCCUCUCUUUUUAGUUAUUACUUGAAUAGGAUACAUGGCCUUCAUAUUCUGUAGAUUACUUUAUUCCUGUGUGAUUUUUGCUCUAAAGAUGAUAGGUUUCAGAAUGUGGUUAGUUUUGCGUCUGACAUAUGCUUGCUGCUGUUACACAUUAUUGUACUUUUGUCUUCGACUUUGCUCUAGAAGCAUUCUUGUUCUCGACUUCCAGCUGUAUUGUUCAUGGCACUAUUUUUUUCUGCCUUUGUAGCCGAGGAUUACUGAGACUGUUUGGACUGAAUUAUGGUUUUGUAGCAUUUGUUCCAUGUGAGAGAUGGUCCUAUAUUGAUAUCAUUGUGAAAUAAUAGCGGAGUGUAGAAACUGUAUGCUAAUUUUGCAUGCAGUUCCAGACUUCCAGCUGUAUUGUUCAUGGUACUAUUUUUUUCUGCCUUUGUAGCCGAGGAUUACUGAGACUGUUUGGACUGAAUUAUGGUUUUGUAGCAUUUGUUCCAUGUGAGAAAUGGUGCUAUAUUGAUAUCAUUGUGAAAUAAUAGCGGAGUGUAGGAACUGUAUGCUAAUUUUGCAUGCAGUUCUAGACUUCCAGCUGUAUUGUUCAUGGCACUAUUUUUUUCUGCCUUUGUAGCCGACGAGGAUUACUGAGACUGUUUGGACUGAAUUAUGGUUUUGUAGCAUUUGUUCCAUGUGAGAUUUGGUGCUAUAUUGAUAUCAUUCUGAAGUAAUAGCGGAGUGUAGGAACUACGUAUAUGCUAAUUUUGCAUUUGCAUGCCUGUUGGUUUAUGAUGCCAUAAAAAACAAGGGCCCCAUACAUCAGUUGUGUAUCUUGCUUGGACUGUCUAUAUUUAUUAUUUUGGUGCUAGAUCUUUGGCUGUGAAGCCAUGAAUUUUGUCUAAUCUUGUGGUGCUUUGGCCUCUAAGCUUUCAAACUGAACCUGAAGACUACUUACUUUUGUGGAUGGCUAAAUCUGUUACCCCUGGGUUGUCCUCUGGACAAAAUUUGUACGUUCAAGUGCUAUAUCUUGAACGUUCCUUCUUUUCUUUUCAGUGACCAUGAUCAUGGUGUGACAUCAAGUUUUAUCUUUGCUCCUCCGCAUACUGCUGCUUCGUUGGUAUCAUCUAAAGGCGUCUGAACCUGGUUCUUUUUAGGCAUGGUUUUGUUUUACUCAUCAAUGCAUUUUAGAUAGUGAAAUUGUUCCUCGUUAUUCCCUGCAGGACUGUUCAUUGUUUAUUGCCUGCCAGUUGUACAUAAGUUUCGUUUGUCCUGGCUAAAGGUUGUUUCACGCUAAAAAGAAAUUAAUUUCCAUCAUAGCUUCGGCUCAGUUGUAGCUUCAGUUUACAUGCAUGAGUAGGUGUUUCCUCAUGCAGACGAGUACUACUCCCUCCAUUCCAAAAUAGAUGACCCAACUUUAUACUAAAGUUAAUACAAAGUUGGGUCAUCUAUUUUAGAACGGAGGGAGUACCUCUCUUCAUAAAUAUAAGAUGUUUUAGAGCAUCCCAGGGCGAUUUUUUUCGCGACGGCGGCGAAAAACCCCAGUCGCGCCCCGAAGAUGCCGAAAUCCGUCGGCUCGACCAGUUUUUGGGCCUGACGAUCCCAGGCCGAACCCAGCGCAAGUACACUUGGGGGCUCUGGCGGAAGGGAAAACCGCGUCUGGGCCACACUGUCACCCCGCCGAAAAAGAGAGGGUUUCGCCGCGGCAACCUCUCCAUCACCUUCCUGGGCGAGUUUUCCGGCGCUUCGGCCGCGCAUGGCGGGAUACCGACAGCUGUGCGCCCACCACGUCUGCCAGGUGUUCGACGAUUUGUCUGCUCGGUGAUGGACUCGGACGAAGAGGAGGUGCUCGCGACGCUGCUGGAGGAGGAAGCCGAUGCCGACGUCCAGGAAGAAGAGCAUCUCAUGGUCCUCGCGGCCCUGACCGGCCUGCUCGCGAGCAAAGCAAAGCCGCGGCGAGGUGGCUCGGCGUCAGGGCGGCUGAAAGCAAAGAACCGACAUCGACUGGAAGGCUAUUGCUUGCUCUACUCCGACUACUUCACCGACGCUCCAGUACACGUCGGCAAAGUAUUUCGGCGCCGUUAUCGGAUGAGCCGAAAGCUUUUCCUCAGGAUUGUGAAUUCCAUCCGGGAGUUCGACAACUACUUCAAGUGCAAGAAGAAUUGCAUCGGCACACUUGAUUCACCUCAAUCCAGAAGUGCACGAUAGCUAUGAGGAUGCUUGCAUACGGAGCUCCCGAUGAUUCACUCGACGACUAUGGGCGCAUGGCCGAGUCCACGACCAUUGAGUGUUUCUACAAGUUCUGCAGGACAGUGGCGGCAGUGUUUGGACCGCAAUACUUGCGAUUACCCAAUGCUGAAGACACUGCCCGGAUCCUAGCACAGAAUGCAGCAAGAGGAUUUCCUGGGAUGCUUGGAAGCAUCGACUGCAUGCAUUGGAAAUGGAAAAAACUGUCCAUUUGCUUGGCAGGGGAUGUACAAAGGCGCCAAAGGCGGUUGCAGUGUGGUACUUGAGGCAGUUGCCACACAGGACCUCUGGAUUUGGCACUCCUUCUUUGGUAUGCCAGGAACUCACAAUGACAUCAACGUACUGCAGUGCUCCCCUGUCUUUGCCAAGCUUGUUGAAAGUCAUUCUCCUUCGGUGAACUUCGAGGUCAAUGGGCGGCACUACAACAAGGGAUACUACCUAGCAGAUGGCAUCUAUCCGAGGUGGUCCACAUUUGUGAAGACUAUCUCAAACCCUGUGCCAGGAAGGUUUAGGAGGCUUGCGGGAAGGAUGUCUAGCGGGCAUUUGAUGUGCUCCAAUCUCGAUUUGCUGCUGUCCGAUACCCUGCUCAGACCUAGUCGAAAGAUCAAAUGUGGGAGCUCAUGGCUUGCUGUGUCAUCUUGCACAACAUAAUCAUUGAGAGCGAGCAAGAAGAGCCAGUGUUUGCCACCGAACCAUAUUACAGGCAGGGUCUUCUUGCCCAAGCUGAUCACCAGCUACCGGCAAUCUGGACUGCCUUCCUCAAUAUGCAUCAGGAGAUUCGAGAACCGCAGGUGCAUCAACAACUGCAGCAGGAUCUGGUGGAGCACCUAUGGAGGCUCAAGGGCAACACCUUAGCUCGACGUGUUAAACUAUUUGUUGAACUAUAUAAUUUGUAUUGAACUAUUUGAUUUCUAUUGAUUUUCUGUGAUGAACUAUGUGAUAAAAAAUAGUUUUUGCUAAAUUUAUGUCGAUGCACGCCGAAUCACGCCGAAUACGGGCCGAAAUUGGUCAAUUCGCGCUGAUAGUGGGCCAUUUUGCGUCGAAAAUGAGCUGGAAAGUGGGCCAAUUUGCGCCGAAAAUGAGCUGGAAAGUGGGCCAAUUUGCGCCGAAAGUGGGCCGAAAUCGGCGCCUGGGGGCGACCUGGGGAGCGGCGGCUGGGAACCCGAUCGCCCCCAAGCCGAAAUUUCAGCCGGCGCGCCCCCAGGGCGGUGCUAUUUCUAGCCCCUGGAGGGUCGAAUGAGUGGAGAUGCUCUUAGAGACUUGUAUGAUUAGUCCGAAACAUCCUAUACUAGAUCGGGAACGCGCCUUGGCGUGAGGGUGCCCGUUCGAACGUUUUGGUCAAGCGUGUAAUGUUAAAUUAUUAGUAACCGAGGCCGCUAUUCCGACCAUAAAAAGGGGUAAUGAAAGGAACGCGGAGUUUCUGCACCCGAGCUCAAAUGAGCUCGGGUGAAAAGUAAAAUCAAAACUAAAUAAAAAAAUUCAAAAAAAUCCAAUUUUUUUGGGAGAAACAUUGACAAAAGUUUUAAGUGCUUGCAAAAAUUCGUCAUGAAAUCACAUUUCUAGAAGGCGUGGCAAAAAAAAAUUCGGUACUCUGAAAAUGCUACUUCCUAAAGCAUUUUGGAGCACUGAUUUUUUUUUGCCACGCUGUUCGGGAAUGUGAUUUCAUGAUGAAUUUUUGCAACCACUUAGAACUUUUGUCAAUGUUUCUCCCAAAAAAUGAUUUUUUUUGAUUUUUUUUGACUUUACUGUUCACCGAGCUCAAAUGAGCUUGGGAGCAGAAAGGCACUUUCGCAAUGAAAGCAUGAUAUUAUCACCAUGUGUCCAAAUGGGACUAACAACAUCUGAAGUAACUCAAGCUAUAAAUAGAUGUCAGACAAAAUGUACCUAAAAAUACUGGUCCGCUUAAUGUCUUUAAGUCAACCUAUUCAUAUUGCAACCUAAGAAACCUCCAAACACCCAUCCAUAAAGCCGUUGCAUUAUAAAGUAUAGAUAAAUAUUAUAUUUUGAGUACGCGAGGUAAUAAGGUGCAUGUGAAGUUGUUCUAAACCAAACAAAGUACAAAGUAGCGACGCCAGGAGCUGAUUGUAAAAUUAGUUCUCCCUUCAUUUCUUUUUAGUCUGCAUAUAAGAUUUGGUCAAAGUCAAACUUUGUAAUGUUUGACCAACUUUGUAGAAAAAAGUAUUAACAUCUACAAUACUGUAGUUAUAUGGUAUGAACAUUUAUUUCAUGAUGCAUCUAACAAUAUUAAUUUCAUAUUGUGAAUUUCGAUAUUUUUUUCUGUACUUAGUCAAAGUUAAUAAAGUUUGACUUGACCAAAUCUUAUAUACAGACAAAAAAAACGGAGGGAGUAACUGUAAGUAAGCUAAAACAGAAUGAAAUGAAGCCAUUAUCAAUAAGUUAAAGGGAGAUGCAGAUAUAGCAGGAGGUUAAAUGGGAAUAAACAUGUAAUCAAAAUCGAAAUUAUCUAAGAAGUACAUUCACUUACCUAACACAACAGCGUAGAAAGCAUCAUGGGAGAGUAUGCGUACACGGUGGAAUGCAUCUUCGGCCAUGAUAAAAAAUGAAGAACUACCGAAGAACCAGUCGGAAAGAAAGAUUGAUUACAUGCACAAAAUAAGAAGCCACCAAACAGUAUACAAACAUAGAAAGCCAUUUCACGAUAGAUUUAGCACCAAAUAUCACAGUCAUAGAGCGUACACAACACGGGGUGGCUUAAAGACGAUUGUAUAGUAGUCCGUACAGUCAUAUGCAUAGAAUAACGAGUGCUCGUUACAGAUCAUGCUUACAAAAAGGACAUAAUUAACUGCAUCUUGGGAGAUAUAGCAGACGGUCAUUGUGUCUGCACCCGGUGAUCCAUCCGAAUCUAACCCGCAAGAAUGCCAAAAAGAGGUCACAUAUCAGAGUACAUGAAAAUUACUGAGAAGACAUCACUUGUUUUUAAGUACCUCUUUACUCUUCACAGCCGCGUUUGCGUUUUUCAAAAAGAUCUUUGCGAGCAUCGCACACAAAUUGUUUCCCAGCUCAUUUGUUGUUCAAUAGUCCAACAUGGCUUAAUGAUCUGGUAUAUGGAACAAUUAAAACCUAGAGAGGCAAGGUUUCUCAAGUUUACCUUGACCCGUCUAGUUUGGGAGGAGGUGUCAUCUGCUGGUUGGUCAUGCUCUGCACAUCCUAAGAAGGGAUCAGUAUCAGUAGCAACGCAUCAACAAACAGUAUUUGUAAGUAGAUCAUUUUGAGCACAUGAACAAUAGAUGGUCCGAUAACACAUAUGUUUUCUAUGUAACCCUGAACAGGACAAUUGCCAAUUGAUUCAUUAAAUAGGGAUUUCAUAAUGUGCAACAACAGCUACGAAAUCAAUCAGCAUAUACCAGAAAAAACAUAAGAAUAACACACUUCCUAGCAAACACACACAGCUCCUCUGAAAUAAGGAUUGGUAUGGGACAACAAAGAACAAACGAUUUUAAACCUACAAAUGAUAAGAUGGCCAGGAACACAUAUGCCUGCUAUGCAACUUUGGACAGGACAGCCACCGAGCGUUGCAUGUACAAAGGGAUUUCACAAGUUGCAACAAUGGCUACUGCAUUAACAUGUAAUAAGAAAGAUUUCAUAAAGAUGAGGCAGGGUGUUACUAAUUGCAGGGGGGAAGCAUUGUUCGCAUCUUGGCAGUUGCUUAAUACGUCAAUCUCCUUAGACAUCAUGGACAUCUUCACUUUCAAGUCUUUUGAAUGGUCUUCAAAGAGCAUUGCCCACGAGGAAGCUGCUAGUAGCUUGUGCUGACAAGGCUUUAACUCGUGGUAAUUUGCAUCAUCAAAAUAGAUCAUGGAUUUGUCUUUUAAAAAGGUCAGGACCGUCGAGCUAGCCAAUUCUACAGCACCUUCCCUUGUUAUAGCGUAAUCUCCAUGAAACAUUGUUGGCUCUGACGUGUGCCUAGUCUUGCCAGCACUCAGAUGAAGAGAAAUCGAUGCAUACAACUCUCCAUCUCCAGCAUCAAUCACCUUGGUGUUUUCUCUAAUAAGACCAAUCAUCUUUAGAGCCAAGUCCAAGAUAUACCUUCGACUUAUGGUCACACAUCUUGGAGACAGCUGGUGAGGAGGAUAGAUCGUGGAAUCCACCAUCAGUCAUGUCAUGUAUCUAAGCCAGAGAAGAUUUACAGUAUAAAACCAACACAUCGCCAGCAAAUGGGCAAACCUGAGGCAAGAACGAGACGUGCAACUCCUCGUCUGAUAUGUAGGCGUCGUCCAUUGUCCUUUCGCCAGAUUCGCUUCUCGUCUAUCUCUGCCGACAAGAUGUGGAUGUUGCUGACAACAUCUAACAUGUGCACAUAAGAACAACUCACGGCAAACAUCCUGCCAACACAAGAAAGAACCUAAAAUAAGCAAACUCCACACACACUUAAAAAACACCGAACAAGGACAAAUGUUAGACCUUCAUGAUGCAGGCUGCAAACCUUUCAAAUAAGAAAAUAGAACUUAAAUAUAUACCCCCUUGCAGUAUGUACAAGUUUGAAAUACACAUGUGACCUUGCAAUAUACAUACAACCCAGCAGCGAGCGUGCGGCAUAAGAGCAUAGGUUAACCAAUAAGGAUGCUUACCCCAUUCUAGUACUGCUAUCUUGUCUGGAUGUGAAAAGUGCUAGUUNNNNNNNNNNNNNNNNNNNNNNNNNNNNNNNNNNNNNNNNNNNNNNNNNNNNNNNNNNNNNNNNNNNNNNNNNNNNNNNNNNNNNNNNNNNNNNNNNNNNNNNNNNNNNNNNNNNNNNNNNNNNNNNNNNNNNNNNNNNNNNNNNNNNNNNNNNNNNNNNNNNNNNNNNNNNNNNNNNNNNNNNNNNNNNNNNNNNNNNNNNNNNNNNNNNNNNNNNNNNNNNNNNNUUUAUGAUAGUCUUCAAAACACGGUGGCUUUGAAGACAAACAGGUAAACUGAGUGUAUGACCUUGAAGUAUGUCUAGAGGGGGGGUGAUUAGACUAUUUGACCAAUUAAAAACUUAACCUUUUUCUAAUUUUAGUCUUUGGCUGAUUUUAGCUAUCUUAGCACAAGUCAAGCAAUCUUCACACAAUUCAAGCAAGCAUGCAAAGAGUAUAUGAGCAGCGGAAAUUAAAGCAUGCAACUUGCAAGAUUGUAAAGGGAAGGGUUUGGAGAUUUCAAACGCAAUUUGGAGACACAGUGAUUUUUGAGCCGUGGUUCCGAUAGGUGGUGCUAUCGUACAUCCACGUUGAUGGAGAAUUCAACCCACGAAGGGUAACAGUUGCGCGAGUCCACGGAGGGCUCCACCCACGAAGGGUCCACGAAGAAGCAACCUUGUCUAUCCCACCAUGGCCGUCGCCCAUGAAAGACUUGCCUCACUAGCGGUAGAUCUUCACGAAGUAGGCGAUCUCCUUGCUCUUACAAACUCCUUGGUUCAACUUCACAAUCUUGUCGGAGACUCCCAAGUGACACCUAGCCAAUCUAGGAGACACCACUCUCCAAGAAGUAACAAAUGGUGUGUUGAUGAUGAACUCCUUGCUCUUGUGCUUCAAAUGAUAGUCUCCCCAACACUCAACUCUCUCUCAUAGGAUUUGGAUCUGGUGGAAAGAAGAUUUGAGUGGAAAGCAACUUGGGGAAGGCUAGAGAUGAAGAUUCAUAUGGUAGGAAUGGAAUAUCUUGGCCUCAACACAUGAGUAGGUAGUUCUCUCUCAAAAAUGGUAAGUUGGAAGUGUAGGUUUGUUCUGAUGGCUCUCUCCACGAAUGAAGAGGAGGUGGAGGGGUAUAUAUAGCCUCCACACAAAAUCUAACCGUUACACACAAUUUACCAAUCUCGGUGGGACCGGAUCAACAAACUCGGUCGUACCGAUUCAGUAAACGUAGUGACCGUUAGUGAUUUCGGUGGGACCGACAUGCAACUCGGUGAGACCGAUAUGGUUAGGGUUAGGGCAUAACGUAAUCUCGGUGAGACUGGUUGCACAAACUUGGUGAGACCGAUUUUGGUAAUUAGCUAACCAGAGAGUUGGUCUGGUAAACUCGCUGGGACCGAUUCGCUCUUUUCGGUGAGACCGAAAUGUUACGAAAGGGAAAUGAAGAGUUUACAUUGCAAUCUCGGUGGGACCGAUCACUCACUUUGGUUAGACCAAAACGUUACGAAGGGAAACAGAGAGAUUACAAUCCCAUCUCGGUGAGACCGAGAUCCCUAUCGGUGAGACCGAGUUGCCUAGGGUUUGUGGCAGUGGCUAUGACAUCUGAACUCGGUGGCGCCGGAUAGAAAGAAUUGGUGGGGCCGAGUUUGACUUUAGGUUUAGGUCAUAUGUGGAUAUGAGAAAGUAGUUGAGGGUUUUUGGAGCAUAUCACUAAGCACUUGAAGCAAGAAACUCAUUAAGCAACACCUCAUCCCUCCUUGAUAGUAUUGGCUUUUCCUAUAGACUCAAUGCGAUCUUGGAUCACUUGAAUAGAAAAUGUAGAGUCUUGAGCUUUUGAGCUUGAGCCAAUCCUUUUAUCCUUAAUAUUUUGAGGUAUCCACUUUCAUCAUCCAUGCCAUGCCAUUCAUUGAGUUUUCCUGAAAUAUUUGUCUUGGAAUAGUAUUAGCUCAGUGAGCUAUAUGUUGUUACGAAUUACCAUAACCACCUAGGGAUAGUUGCACUUUCAAUCUCCUCCCUUUUUGGUAAUUGAUGACAACAUAUAGAUUAAAGCUUCGACAAAUGAUAAUAAGAUUGAAAAAAAACAUCGUCGCUUUGAGAAGUAUGUGAUAAGCAAGAGCUCCCCCUAAAUUUGUGCAUAGUUUAAGAUUUGCUUUGGACUGCAAAUGCACAAGGAAUUAGGCUCAUGGGUUACUCUUCCAUGUCACAUACAUCUUGGUGGAGCGCUCAAAAUAAUAAAGAUUGAAUACAUGCACUCAUCACCAAGAAAAGUGAAUGACCAUACAAAGAUAAAUAAGAUAAUAUCAUCUAACGAGCAUAAGUGUAGCUUAUGAUCAAACACAUGAUCAUCAAUGUCUCACAGACAAUAGCAUAGUAUCUCAAGCAAGAAAAAGCAAAUAAAGUUCAACCACGAAGACAAGAGAGAACAAAAGCAAACUCUCUCUCUCCCUCUUGAAGCCUAUGAUCUAUACAUUUUUCUCCCCCUUUGGCAACAAGUUACCAAAAAGUUCCUAAAAAUGCAUAGUACUAUUUCGUCUCUCAGGCUUGGUCUUCAGUUGGUGGUGUAGAGAUGACUCCUUGGACGAAGACUUCAGUUGAUGUGGAUGGAGCUGAAGGAGUUGGUGCUGGAGCUGGUUGCACUGGAGCUGUAGCUAGUGCAGAUGAAGUGGCUCUGGUGACUGUCACUGGCUCUGCAACUGAUCUCUGAGCUCGAGGCACUCUGGCAAAUGCAUCAGUAGUUGUCCUGCCCUUCCUCUCCUGCAUGUCAUCCUGUAGCUGCUCCACAACUGACUGAAUCUCAGUUACUUUGACAUCUAAAUCAUAGAAUUUUUGUUCCAUGAUUCUUUCCAGGCUCUCCUGGUUUUGAGUUAGGGUGGCCAACCCCUUCUCAAUCCUCAGAGUUGAUUCUAUCAAGUAACCAAGCUGGUCCUACUUACUCUUCAAAAAGUACUCAGAUGCCUCCUCUAGAGUUGGCAUCUUGGCAGCCUUCUCCUUCUUUGCUUUCUCCUUCUUCUCUUGAGCUUGCACUGAUGAUGGUUCAUUCUCAUUCAUGACAACUUGAUUGUCCUCAAAGUCUGGAUAGAGAAUAAAGUGUUCCUUAUCCAACAGAUAUUUGCAUGUGCCCAUUUUUGAGUUGACCAGCUCCUGGAUUUGUGGGGCAUACCCACAACUUCUUUUUUGGUCUGCUACUGUCCUCUUGAUAGUCUCAACUAUGAGGCUCAUGACCUUGAAUUUCUGUGACACAUCAAAUAUGUGUAGAAAAUUAAUUGCAUGCCCUCUGAUCAUGUUGUGGUCACCUAACUUGGGCAAAAGAGUGUGCCUAAGGAUCCAGUUGAUCAUUGUCAGCCCCGAUAGAAGAAAAUGGACAGACCCAACUUGAAAGUCUCAAGUGCCUUGUCUGGGAUCUCCUUGUACAUAUGUGACAUAGAAUUGUGAUCCUUUUUCUUCUUGGAGUAGACAUCCAAGUCAUCUUCUUUCUCCUCUGGGGCAUUGAUCAGAUUGGCCCAUUCCUCAAUAGUUGAUUGGUACUUUGUACCUUCAGACAUCCAGAUAAUUCUGCCAUCAGGAUAAAAAUGAGCUGUGGAGUAGAAUUGCAUAAAUAGCUCAUCAUUCAGUUUGUGAACUUCUGUCCAACAAACUCAUCAACUCCACAAGCCUUAAAGCUGUCAAAUACUCCUGGGUAGUGAUCCUCAUUUUCCUUCAUGUAUUUCUAGUCUACCCACCUCAUGUCACAAACUAUGGGCUUCUUAUCCAACAGCACAGUCUCAUAGAAGUCCUGCUGUUCCUUAGUGUGGAACCUGUAAUCAACAACAUUUCUUCUUCUGAUUGCAUAUGGAUCAGACAAUCUCCACUACCUGAGCCCUGCAUCUUUCCUCAGCUUCAUAUUCUCAGCCAUUGGAUGAGCAUCGUUGUGGUCUGGAAUCUUGGGUUUGAGCUUCCUCAGGACUUGUCCUUCAUCAUCUUCCUCAGCAGCAACUUCAGGCACUGGGGCCUUGUUCUUCUCAGCAGCUGGUAUGCUCCUGGUAUUCCUCUUAGGUGCAGACUUGGCCUUGGAGGCAGCUUUGGGUGCUUCUUUGGGCUUUGAUGAUGCAUCCCCUGACCUUAUAGCAUCACCCAUCAGCUUUUGUGCCUUGGGUGCUGGUGCAGCAACCUCUUCUUCCUCCUCCUCUUGCAUCAUGGAAGGUUGUCCAACAACUCUGGCCAUGGUCUUUCUGACCCUUUCCUUUCUCUUCUUUCCUUCUGCAGCUGGCUCUUUGGGAUCAGGUUUCUCAGGUUCUUGUGUUGAUCCUCUGACCUUCAACAUAGGUGUCCUCUUGGCAGGGACCUUCCUAUUUAGUGCAGGCUUUGUGGUCUUUGCUGAGCCAUACUCCUUUUUGAGCACUACCUUCUUGGAAGUAGCCUCAUCUUCAGCUUCCACAUAGUCCUCAUCCUCAGAGUCUGAGGUUCUCUUCCUUCUGGCUCUUGUGGCUACUUUUGGCAAAUUGCUAGGAGUGCUUCUGCUGCCUUCAACUGAGGAACUGGAGGGACUAGUGCCCUCACUCAUGUGAAUCUGCUCUUCUUCCCUGUUCUGGCUGUCACUUUGGUCUGACAUGUUGAAAGCACUGACUGCUGACCCUGUGAUUAGUUAUAGAUGAGAUAGAAUGGAUGAGCAUCACAAAAUGCAGAGAUUUCUGCAAAAGAAUGAUUCAAAAACUUAGUUUUAGUUUUCCACAGAAAGCAUUUCGGAUCAACCGAUUUUCAAACUCGGUGAUACCGAAGCAGCUUUUGGAGCCUAAACUAGUGAUCGCGGUCAGACCGAGUCACGGUUCGGUGGCACGGAGACUGCUAGGGUUUCACUGAGUUCUAAAAUCGGUCACACCGAUUCGUAAUUCUCGGUCAGACCGAGAGUUACUUGUGCAAUGGCGUUAGCCGAAUCGGUGGGACCGAGUUUUUCAACUCGGUGGGUCCGAGAUGGUUUCGGCGAAAACCUAACCCUAAAUUUUCAAAUCGCAUCUAUUCUAAGGAUUGUUUUGACUGGAUAGAGGUGUUUCAAUCGUGGCAAGAAUCAUAAUGAACACAAUGUGCUAGGAAUUGGACGGGGAUAGCACUAUGAUCGACUCCAUACCCUAGUUUGGCGAUGAACUCGCUACGACGGCAAUGGUGGGGAUGAAUUCCUUUGACGGCGGUGGAGACCAGCGACUGGAGGCGGCUGGCGACGAAAUCGACGAUCCGAAGACCUAGGAGGCAGAGCGAGCUAUGCGCGGGCGAAGUGGUUUGGAGAAAGUUUUCAAAAUUUUGCCCGUGUGUAUAUAUAUCCCGACCCUGUCGGUGUGAUCGAGUGGAACAACUCGGUGGCACCGAGAUGCAUAACUGUUGACAGUUACAGCAACUCGGUGAGACCGAAAAGUUCAAAUCGGUUGCACCGAGAUUGAAAACCUAGAUCGACUUAGUGAUCUCGGUAUGACCGAAAUGGAAGAAUCAGUCAGACCGACAUACACAAAGAAGUUUUGGAAGUUUAAGUCCAUGACGAAUCGGGGACUCCGAGUGCUCCUCACACAGAGUGGUUCGAAUCUGACUUUAUCAAAUUUUGUGAUGUAGCAUGAAUAGAGUUUGAGACAAGAAAAGCAUAUAUAGCUAGAGAAGGUUCUUAGGCAUUCUUGUUCAUCCACUUGGCAAAAGGAAAGAAACCAAUCAAUCAAAGCAACAAGUGGAUGUCCUCGAAUGAGUUAAAUAUGCAACCAACAUGCUCACACAAUAAAAUGGCAAAUGAAAUAUGUGGCAAAGCAUGCACAACCAAUUCUAGCAUCUAUCAAACAAUUGGCGAUGACUAGGUCAUCUAUAUAUGAGUAUAUUCACUUAGGAGUCAAAUGAGAACAUUUGAUCAUAGGUCAUACUCAUCGUUUAAGCUCAAAUGGGGUUACCACUUUUACAUAAUGCAUCGAUAUGUUCACAUCAUUAGAGUUGCUUUGACUCAAUUCUUAGAGUUAAGCUCCCCCUAGAUGUGAGAUCCCCCCUUAAAGGGAUGAACUAACCUUGGGUUUUGUCGAUGAUGACUUCAUUUAGGUGUUGAAGAUGUGGAUGCUCAAUGUUGAUGUAGAUCAUUUGGAGCAUUCCUUUGGAGUGAGUUGCACUUUCAAUACCUACAUGGGUUAGUCCCACAAGGAACAAACAAGUAUAUCCAUAGACAUAGAGUGAUGCACACACAAGAUGAUGUCCAUGAAAGCAUUAGGUCACCUUGUCCCUUGCCUUACCAACAUGAGGGUUUGUGACUCCUUGAACUAGUGCAAGAUGUGGAAGUUGAUUGCACUUGUCCUUGCCAUAAUGAUAUGAGAGAAGAAUGUUGGCGGAGUCACCCUCAAGAACUCUCUAGUUCUUCUUCUUCGGGAUCCACAUCAUCUUGAUGGGAAUCCUUGGAGUUGUAGUUGUGCUUGAUGAAGUAGAACUUGACGUAGUCUUGGGAACCCACUUGACCAAGGCCUUAGGAGCUUCUUCAAAUACAUCUAUCUCCUCUUGAAGCUUGUCCUUGCCUUUGUUCUUGUGGUCUUGUGGUGGAAGAUCAUCUUGAGCUUGUGUUCCCUUGAAGGAAGUGGGAUCAUACUUCUCUUUUUGAGGAGCAAACUUUGUCUUGGGGUAUUGAUCUUCUUCCACUCAACUCCAUUGGCAUUGAACUUUCGUUCAAAACCAACACCUUGAUUCUUCCGGUGCCUUCCUUGCUUGCGUACAAUUUCCUCAAAUUUCUUACUCCCGGCAAGGCUCUUGUAUACACCUUUCUCUAUAAUUCCCUUCAAUAAGCUAUUUUCUUGCUCAAGUGUAACUUGGCUAAGAGAAUCAUUAGUGGAAUCAAGAGAACUACUAUAAGCAACACUAUUGGAUUUAGCAUGAUUAUUGUUACUACUAGAGGAAGAAUCCUUCUUGUUCUUGUUACUAGUCUUGACUUGAGGCAUGUAAGUAGAUAAGAGUAAACACUUGGCAAUGUAAUAAGAACUUUUCUUGCGAAGAUCAUCAUUGAUUGCUUUUAAGAACUCAUGCUCUUGCUCAAGAUUGAGCUUUUCAAAGCGUAACUUCUCAUGAGUCCUCAAAAGUUCUCGAUGAUCCCCUAAGAUAGUUUCAUGAGCUAACUUAAGAGUGUUUAGUUCUUUAGUUAGAAGCUCAAUCUUCUCCUUAUCAUUGUCAUUCGUUUUAUCUUGUUUAGCAUGAUUAAUUGACGUUUCAUCAUAGUAUUCAUCACUAGAGUUGUCAAUAAGUAAAUCAUCAUCACCUAACAAGUCAUCUUCAUCACUAUUGAAAUCAACAUACUCGGGGUGAGUUACCUUAGGGCCUUUAGCCAUGAAGCAUCUUCCAAUUCCUUCAUUUGGUGAAUCAAAUAUGUCGUAGGAGUUGGUCGACACAAGUGCUAGACCGGCAACACCUUCAUCUUGAGUAUGUUCGGAGUCAGAGUGAUAGCUUCUCUCGGAGUGAUGUUCAGAGUUGAAACCGGAUACCCAUUCACCAACAUGAGCUUGAUGUCUUCGUUUUGUGUAGCUUUUUGAUGAAUUGUCCUUCCUUUCCGAAUCCUUGCUUCUCCGAGAUGUUCUUCGUUCAUAACGAUCAUCUCUACUCCUCUCUCUUGGCGGUGAUUCUUCUCUUCUACUUCUUCUCUUGGAAGAAUCUUUUCUUCUUUUGUAGGGUGCCGUACACUCAUUGGAAUAGUGUCCGGGUCUCCCACAAUUGUAGCAAUUGCGCUCUUGACUGGAAGAUCUUUUAUCAUUGUAAGACCUUGACUUGGAGCUUCUUUCUUUGUUUCUACUCUUGUAGAAUUUGUUGAAGUUCUUCACCAUUAGGCUCAAUUCUUCAUUGAAGGUUUGUUUCUCACUUGAUGAUGUAGGGGCUUCACAUGAGGCUUUGUAAGCACCACUUGACUUGUUUUGAAGUUCCUCUUUAUCCUUGAGUGACAUCUCAUGAGCAACAAUUCUUCCAAUGACCUCUGUUGGCUUGAGAUUCUUGUAGUUGGGCAUCAUUUGGAUCAAUGUGCACACGGUAUAAUAUUUUCCAUCCAAUGCUCUUAGGAUCUUCUUGAUGAUGAAUCUAUCGGUCAUCUCUUCGCUUCCUAAGCCCACAAUCUCAUUUGUGAUAAGAGCAAGCCUAGAGUACAUUUCAGUGACACCUUCACAAUCCUUCAUUUUGAACUUGUCAAGCUGACUUUGGAGCACAUCCAACUUGGAUUCCUUGACGGAGUCGGUACCUUCAUGCAUAUCAAUCAAAGUAUCCCAAAUUUCCUUUGCAUUCUCAAGACGGCUAAUUUUGUUGAAUUCUUCGGGGCAUAAUCCAUUGAAGAGGAUAUCACAAGCUUGAGCAUUGUAUUGCAGCAUCUUCAAUUCAUCCGCACUAGCUUCACGAUUUGGUUCCCUCCCAUCAAAGAGUUCACCUUGCAAGCCAAUACACACAAUAGCCCAAAUGGCGGGGUUAUGUCCGAGAAUGCAUUUUCAUCUUAUGCUUCCAACUAGCAAAAUUAGUACCAUCAAAGUAAGGACCUCUACGGUGAUAAGUUCCCUCGCUAGACGCCAUACUCUCCUAGGUUGUGAAACCAAGGCUAUGACCACCAAAAGCUAUGGAAAUCAAAGCAAAUGGAUACCAAGGCUCUGAUACCACUUCUAGGACCUUGAAGUAUGUCUAGAGGGGGGGGGGUGAUUAGACUACUUGACCAAUUAAAAACUUAACCUUUUCCCAAUUUUAGUCUUUGGCUGAUUUUAGCUAUCUUAGCACAAGUUAAGAAAUCUUCACGCAGUUCAAGCAAGCAUGCAAAGAGUAUAUGAGCAGUGGAAAUUAAAGCAUGCAACUUGCAAGAAUGUAAAGGGAAGGGUUUGGAGAUUUCAAACGCAAUUUGGAGACACGGUGAUUUUUGAGCCGUGGUUCCGAUAGGUGGUGCUAGCGUACAUCCACGUUGAUGGAGACUUCAACCCACGAAGGGUAAUGGUUGCGCGAGUCCAUGGAGGGCUCCACCCACGAAGGGUCCACGAAGAAGCAACCUUGUCUAUCCCACCAUGGCCGUCGCCCACGAAGGACUUGCCUCACUAGCGGUAGAUCUUCACGAAGUAGGCGAUCUCCUUGCCCUUACAAACUCCUUGGUUCAACUCCACAAUCUUGUCGGAGGCUCCCAAGUGACACCUAGCCAAUCUAGGAGACACCACUCUCCAAGAAGUAACAAAUGGUGUGUUGAUGAUGAACUCCUUGCUCUUGUGCUUCAAAUGAUAGUCUCCCCAACACUCAACUCUCUCUCAUAGGAUUUGGAUCUGGUGGAAAGAAGAUUUGAGUGGAAAUCAACUUGGGGAAGGCUAGAGAUGAAGAUUCAUAUGGUAGGAAUGGAAUAUCUUGGCCUCAACACAUGGGUAGGUAGUUCUCUCUCAGAAAUGGUAAGUUGGAAGUGUAGGUUUGUUCUGAUGGCUCUCUCCACGAAUGAAGAGGAGGUGGAGGGGUAUAUAUAGCCUCCACACAAAAUCUAACCGUUACACACAAUUUACCAAUCUCGGUGGGAUCGGAUCAACAAACUCGGUCGGACCGAUUCAGUAAACCUAGUGACCGUUAGUGAUUUCGGUGGGACCGACAUGCAACUCAAUGAGACCGAUAUGGUUAGGGUUAGGGCAUAACUUAAUCUCGGUGAGACCGAUUACACAAACUCGGUGAGACUGAUUUUGGUAAUUAGCUAACCAGAGAGUUGGUCUGGUAAACUCGGUGGGACCGAUUCGCUCUUUUCGGUGAGACCGAAAUGUUACAAAAGGGAAACAGAGAGUUUACAUUGCAAUCUCGGUGGGACCGAUCGCUCACUUCGGUUAGACCAAAAUGUUAUGAAGGGAAACAGAGAGAUUACAAUCCCAUCUCGGUGAGACCGAUUUGCCUAGGGUUUGUGGCAGUGGCUAUGACAUCUGAACUCGGUGGCGCCGGAUAUAAAGAAUCGGUGGGGCCGAGUUUGACUUUAGGUUUAGGUCAUAUGUGGAUAUGAGAAAGUAGUUGAGGGUUUUUGGAGCAUAUCACUAAGCACUUGAAGCAAGAAACUCAUUAAGCAACACCUCAUCCCUCCUUGAUAGUAUUGGCUUUUCCUAUAGACUCAAUGUGAUCUUGGAUCACUAAAAUAUAAAAUGUAGAGUCUUGAGCUUUUGAGCUUGAGCCAAUCCUUUUAUCCUUAAUAUUUCGAGGGAUCCACUUUCAUCAUCCAUGCCAUGCCAUUCAUUGAGCUUUCCUGAAAUAUUUGUCUUGGAAUAGUAUUAACUCAAUGAGCUAUAUGUUGUUAUGAAUUACCAAAACCACCUAGGGAUACUUGCACUUUCACUGAGCUAUAUGUUGUUAUGAAUUACCAAAACCAUCUAUGUAGAAACACUCAGCAAGAUGGAAAGGGAGGCACGGUGUGCGGGAAAAAUCACACUCGAUGUGGUAUUCGGCACCCCGAAGAAUUACAGGUCCGAAGAAAUCACAUUCCAAGUGGCUCCUUUCAGCAGCGGAUACCACGCCCUUUUAGGGCGGGAUGCAUUCACAAGCUUUCAAGCUAUACCCCGUUACGGAUACAUGAAGCUUAAAAUUCCCGGACCCAAUGGAAUCAUCACUCUAGCCAGUGACCCGGACGUUGCACUCUGCGCCAAAAAUAAAACUGCAGCACUAGCCCUGGAAGCAUUAUCCAAAGCCCUAGCGGCCGAAGAACUAACAACGCUGCGCGCCACAGUGGACAGGGACGACGUGAUACUCGACAAACGACCCAAGUCCACAACAUUUAAACCCGCAGACUAGAUAGUCAAAUUCUAGGUCCAUCCAACAGACCCCACGAAGACAGCUUCCAUCGGGACACAGUUGAGCCCCACAAUGGACGCCGCACUACGAGAAUUCCUACGCGAGAAUUGGGACAUUUUCGCCUGGCAUCCUUCAGACAUGCCGGGCAUCCCACGCAGGCUGGCCGAACACAACCUCAACAUACUGAAAGGAUACAAGCCAGUCAAACAGACUCUUAGGCGCUUCUCAGAGCCUAAACGAUAAGCCAUGGGAGAAGAGCUACCCAAGCUAAUUGAGGCCGGAUUCAUCAGAGAUAUCAAGCAUCCUGAUUGGCUGGCAAACCUGGUAAUGGUACCAAAGAAGGACAAAUCCUGGCGCCUAUGCGUGGAUUUCAAAGACCUCAACAAGGCUUGCCCCAAGGAUCCCUUCCCCCUCCCUCGCAUCGACCAAAUCAUCGACGCCACCACAGGACAUGAUUCACUAUGUUUCCUCGACGCAUACUCCGGAUACCAUCAAAUAAAGAUGGCAGAGUCCAACCAAGCCGCAACGGCAUUCAUAACGCCAUAUGGCCCUUUCUGCUUCAACACUAUGCCUUUCGGGCUUAAAAAUGCCGACGCAACCUAUCAACGCAUGAUUCAAACAUGCCUGGAGAAGCAAAUCGGCAAAACAGUGGAGGCAUAUGUGGACGACGUGGUCAUAAAAACAAGACAUGUUGAAACCCUAAUAGAUGACUUGAGGCUUACGAUCGAUAACCUCCGAACAUACGACAUCAAGCUAAACCCGAAAAAAUGUGUUUUCGGUGUACCCUCUGGGAAGCUGCAUGGCUUCAUUGUUUCCAAUAGAGGAAUUGAAGCAAAUCUGGCAAAAAUCCGAGCUCUGUCGCAGUUGGCUAUCCCAACAGACCUCAAGCAUAUCCAGAAAUUAGCUGGAUGCGUGGCUGCCUUAAGCCGCUUUAUCUCCCGAUUAGGAGAAAAGGCACUAGCCCUUUACCGCCUUCUUCAACGCACCGAACACUUCGCGUGGACGAAUGCAGCCGCGACCGGGCUGGAUGAAAUAAAGACCUUAUUGACCAGUAAUCCAGUCCUGACAGCGCCAAAUGUUGGCGAACCUAUGUUGCUAUACAUAGCUGCGACACAUCAGGUUGUCAGUGCAGUGCUCGUCGUCGAACGAGAAACAAACGGAUACAAAAUCCCGCUCCAAAAGCCAGUAUAUUAUGUGUCCACUGUCCUCACUCCAUGCAAAUCCCGAUACCCACACUAUCAAAAGAUAGCAUACGCGGUCUUCAUGGCAUCCCGGAAGCUACGACACUACUUUCAAGAGUGUUCGAUUACAGUGGCCUCCGAAGUACCACUCAACGACAUGAUAAACAACCGCGACGCCACGGGAAGGAUUGCUAAAUGGGCAAUCGAGCUCCUUCCAUUCGACAUAACAUACAAACCACGGCGGGCCAUUAAGUCGCAAGUAUUGGCCGACUUCGUCGCUGAAUGGACAGAAGCCGAACUCCCUAAAGAGUACGACGCGUACUCCAACUGGAUCAUGAACUUCGACGGCUCUAAAAUGCUGGCCGGAUUAGGAGCGGGUGUAGUCCUGACUUCCCCCACCGGAGACACAGUCAAAUAUGUACUCCAAAUAUUAUACACGGACUCCAACAACGUAGCCGAAUACGAGGCUCUGUUGCAUGGUCUUCGGAUGGCAGUCUCUAUGGGCAUUCAACGCCUGGAGGUGCGCGGGGAUUCAAACCUUGCAAUAUAACAAAUAAACGGAGAUUUUGAUGCCAAGGAUCCGAAAAUGGCGGCCUAUCGUAAUGCCGUCCUCAAAAUGUCAGCUCGGUUCGAGGGGCUCGAAUUCCACCAUAUGGCUCAAGAAAACAAUCAAGCGGCGGAUAUCCUCGCCCGCAUCAGCGCUAAACGCGACCCUGUCCCUCCUAACAUAUUCCUAGAAAGGUCGUUCAAACCAUCCGUGGUAUGGGAAGGGGAGUCCGGCAACACUAGCCCGGAUCCAAACACAACCCCAGAUUCCGAACCAUCUGACGUAAUCGGAGGCUCCGCCACCGAAAUAACAACUUCGGCCCAUGAAAUCAUGGCUGUAACCGCCUCGUGGACUGAGCCUUUUUUGGCCUACCUAAAUAGGCAGGAGCUCCCCAAGGACCAAAAUGAAGCACGUUGUAUCGUGCGGUGCUCCAAGGCCUACAAAGUCCACGAGGGAGAACUCUACAAGAAAAGUGCGACGGGAGUGCUCCAAAGAUGCAUCACCAAAGAGGAAGGGCGGCAGCUCUUGGCUGAAAUCCAUGUCGGACUCGGUGGGCACCACGCUGCGGCUCGGGCACUUGUCAGCAAAGCCUUCCGUACAGGUUUUUAUUGGCCGACGGCCCGAGCAGACGCACAUGACCUUGUCCAGCACUAUGUUGGUUGCCAGCUUUUUGCCAAUCAGAGCCAUAUGCCCCCUACCGCUGUCCAAACAAUCCCAUUACUUGGCCCUUCGCGGUCUGGGGGCUGGAUAUGGUCGGACCCUUUAAAGGGAGAAGCCAUAAGAAAAAAUACUUAUUGGUCAUGGUGGACAAGUUCACCAAAUGGAUAGAGGCCAAACCAGUUAAAACGGCCGAAUCCGGACCAGUGAUAGACUUCAUAUCAGGGGUUGUACACUGUUACGGCGUCCCCCACAACAUCAUCACUGAUAAUGGCUCAAACUUCACAGCCGAUGAAGUGAAAACUGGUGCGGCAACAUGGGCAUUGAGCUCGAUUACGCCUCCGUCUACCAUCCCCAAACAAACGGUCAGGUCGAACAUGCAAAUGGUCUCAUUAUGAGAGGCAUCAAACCCAGACUAGUGCGGUCCUUGACAGAAUCAGACACGCACUGGGUCGAGGAGCUCGACUCCGUACUCUGGGGGCUAUGGACCACGCCGAAUCGCACCACCGGAUACACACCAUUUUUAUGGUGUACGGUGCAGAAGCAGUACUACCCUGCGACAUAAUACAUGACUCACCUCGUGUGCACCUAUACAAAGAGAAGGAAGCCGAGUUAGAUCGGUAGGAUAACUUAGAUGCCCUGUAGGAGAAGCGCGACGUCGCCAAAGCCCGUUCCGCAUUCUAUCAACAACAGGCUCGACGAUAUCAAAGCAGAGAAGUGCGGGCCAAAACUUAUAAUAUUGGGGAACUUGUUCUACGCCUACCGGAGAACAAGAAGGACAAGCUCAAACCUAAGUGGGAGGGUCCCUUCAUUAUUGAUAAAGUUCUCACCGGAGGAGCGUACCGCCUGCGUAAUGCAUUUGACAACAGACUCGAGCCAAACCCAUGGAACGUGGCCAGACUCCGGAGAUUCUACGCCUAGCGCCGAACUCAGUGUUCGUCUCCUUACCCCCGCUCUUUUAAUUAUGCUCCUCCCCCUCUUUUUUUUCCUUUCUCACCCUUUUUCCCCUUUUCACACAAAGUACUCAAUACGGUGCGGAUGUUCGGAUCACUCCGGCCGCACUAUGUGUGUAAACCAUACCUGGGGGCUUCCUAUACGGAAGCUAAAUAUAAUUACUUUCAUGGCUUCUUGCCUGUCACAUAUGCGUCCUUUUUCCAUAUGUGCCUUUUCUUCACCAUUAUAUGCAUCGGUAUGACUUAAGAUGUGGCCAUGCUAGGUUGCCUGGCUCUUGUGUUUAUGCCCUACGUUCCCAUCAAUUCGGCUAGGGCAUAAGGGGAGCACCUCUGUGAUUGUUACUGCCGGUUCAGCCGGAUGUGUACCUCAGACUGGGUGAAGCCGAAAGCUAGCAUCCUUAAGGGAAUAUUCGGUCAGUGAACAAAAGAUGUUUCUUUCGUUUAUUACAAACGUGAAUCCCCAGAAGUUUUUUUUAUCUUGCGUUUCUGUUCGCAAUCCGGACAUGUACAUCGAUGCAUGCGUGCCCAGGGAAAGGAACCCCUAACGGAACUAUUCUCCCUGGAAUAUGUUUCUUACUACCCAUGUAAUAUAACAUAACUAGUUGGGUACUUGUCUGUUCAAGCACUUAUGAUACCUAUGCCUGGUUUCCACACAUACCCUGGUUCUACAUAACUAAGCGGGUAUUUGGAUACACCCCGGAAUGUCGGAUCCGAGGGCUGAAGCAAAAAGGUCCGCCAUGACAAAUGAUUUUUAAUCUGGCUAGGGACUACAUAUGUCCAUUGAAUUACAUAGUCACUUGGACUGACUAUAUUCUUCCUCUAUACCGUCCAACAAGCUAUCUAGCUUGCAAUUCUAUUGGGAAUACUUUGCGGCUAACGCUACCGGAUCAUACACCAGACUCACAUGAAUUUCUUGCCCAUCUGGCCCCACCGGUCCGACUUCGGCCAUAUGGUUCGGGUCAAGCUUGGUGUAGCGCGUCUUCACCAUGGCCCAGGCUUCCCUUGCACCUUCUCGGCAAGCUGACAUCUUCCACAAUCGAAAGCGCCGCCGUGCUCCUUGGAGCAUAUCCAUGAGCCCCCCCAUGCCUUUUGGCAGGGAAGUGGAUGGCCACAAGGCCUGGGCAAUACCCUGCAUCACCUGCCGAGCUCGCUCGUGCAGCUGUGAAAGGUCUUGCAGCAAAUCACCUGUGGACGUGGGCAUCUCCUCUUCAGGACGGCCCGUCAACAUACCUACAGAUAUAAACUCUUGCAAUAUGCUUCCUUGCCGAGCUGUACUACAGUUCAUCUAGGCACCCACCAUAAAUGCCGCGACGAAGCCUUCUGUUCUCCUUUACGGAGUCUGCCAGCUGAGCACGAACAUCGCCUAAUUUGACGCCCAGCCAGACAUUGGCAUCUUGAAGAUCGUUCUUCUCCCGCCUAACUUGUGUAAGAACACGCUCGCCAGCUUUUAGCUGCCUUUGGAGAUGUGACUCGCUAUCUCUCACGAUCUCUGGAUUCUCCCCGGGAUUGUCUGCAGAACUUUCUGUUAGACUUAUCAAACAAGCCAAUUACUAACUGGUACAUUUCCAUAAAAUUUCGUUACCAAAGACGAAUGUUACCAGGGGAGGCCUUUUGGGAUUCCUCCAGUUUGGCAACCGCGGCCCUCAACUGGGUCUUGCACUCCUCCAGCUCUUGAGACAAUUGGGUAUUCUUAUCUACAAGGACCUGUGGAUAAAAUGAUCCUUAAAUCUGUUGUUCCAACCGUUUUAAGUCUCAGGGGCUCCUGCUAUACAUGCUUAUCAAAUUUCCUUACCCGUAUAUCUUUCGCAUACUGGUCUGUCGCUCAGGCGAGUCCGCCUUGAGCAGCCCGAAUAUAUGUGUCUCCCGAAUUGAAAGCAUUAAGUGCCUCUUCGGAAAAGAUGCUAUUCCAAAGUAUGGCCCGUCGGCGCCGGUGAUUCAUGGCACUCUCCACUUUGGAAUUCGUGGCGGAGAGCAUAACCACAUCCUCUGUUGGAGGACAAUUCGGCGUUGGCCCUGCAUCGGCCUCCUCCCUUGAGGCCAGCUCUGGAAUCCGGCUGGUGGAGGCGUGAUCGGCAGGAUCUCCGCAUAUAGUCCGGAGACUCCUCUUUCUGCUAGAACAUGAAGGACACUGUUACAUUUCAAACACAAUAAUCACAGAGCAGGUUUUUUUCCAUACCUCUGUAACAACGUUUCGGCCCUAACCGCCUUCCUAUUAAGCCUACCGGACCUGGGCGCCUUCUGCUGACGAGCCCCCAGGGGCUCGGCGCCGCGCUCCGAUGGUCGUCUCUAUAAAAAUACGAUAUUUUACGCAUAAGGCAUGAUAUCAGAAAGGAAUCCUCUUCACAGGAUAAGGUUUCGACCUUGCUUACACGUGAUGCAGGUAGCAGUCCGGGAUAAUCGGCGGUAAUAGCCACCGAGGUGCCAUCACAUUUGGCCUGAUAAAAAGUCCCGUUGACAAGCUCCACAGUAAUAUCCGGAUCUUCUUCGAGUCUUGGAUUGAAGGCCCUUCCAGGGACCUCUAGCUGCGGGGAGGGGCUGUUGAAUCCUUCCACGGCCCUCCUCAGUUUCUACUCGGGAAUAUCGAGGUAAAUAAUUAUGAUGAAGGACGCCAGAAUAAAUGGAGCGGGGAAAAAAGUGACGACCUGCCCAGCUUGGGGGGUUGUACAUGGAAAAUCCAUCCCGCGGUUUAAUAUGAAGGAAUUCCUCUUCUUCCCCUUUAUACAAAUCGAACAGUAUUUUCACCAGAGCAGUGGCGGAGUCCGGACCUUUACGACCACAAUGGGUGGCGUCAUCUUCCCCGUUGUAGUGCCACAUGGGCUUCCCCCGGUAUUGAAGUGGCUGCACCCCCCGCAUUAUGCAUAUUGCUAUAACUUCGACUAUUGCUAGCCCUGAUUUGGCCAGUAUCUUUAUCCUGCUCAUCAGGAAGUGUACUUCUCUGAUAUCCUCCUCUUGGGGGCCCCGAGGGUGCCAACUUCGGCGUACCUUCGGUGGAGCAUUAUUGAACUUAGGGAGGCCCGUCCGGACUGGAUCCGGAAGGGGAAUGUCAUCAACAUAAAACCACUCCGAGGGCCAAUUUGUAGAUGCCUUCUUGGGAGUGCCGGACAGGUAUCUGGUCUCGGUGACGCACCAUAUUUCAGCUCCGCCCACUUGACAUAUGGAUUCCCUCUGGUUGUGAGGGACGAGGCAGAACAACUUCUUCCAUAAAUCAAAGUGAGCCUCACAACCCAGGAAUAAUUCACAAAGGGCGACGCAUCCUGCGAUGUGCAGUACGGAGGCAGGAGUGAAGUCGUGCAACUGGAGGCCGUAGAACUCCAGGAGCCCGCGAAGGAAUGGGUGGAUUGGAAACCCGACGCCUCUUAGCAGAUGUGGGAUGAGGCAUAUUCGCUCCCCCGAGGAUGGAUUAGGAGAUCUCUCCGCUUGCUCCCCGCCAUUAUAGGUGGCUAGUCCAGCUCAGACGGGGACCAUGAACGCCGGUGGAAGAAACCCUUGGGUCUGCAACUCUAUAAAACGGCUUUGAGGAACUGAACACUCUUCCCAGUCACCUGAUUUGGAGCGAAGAGAGCGAGAAGAAGAGCUGCGGCGACCGACCAUGUUGGAAUGGUUUUUUCCGGAGUGCUCUGUUGGAUGCUUGCUUAAGGGAAGAAGGUCAGGUUUGGAUAUGAGGAUCCUCAUCCCUUCAAAUAGAAGGUUUGCUUGCAGGGCCGGGGUGGCAAAUGAAAAAAUGCCCCGGCUCCUCGUAUUCGCUUGACAUGUGGAGAUGGCCAUUAUUGAAGCACAGAAGCCGAGGAGUACAACAUUGAUGGGAAGCCAGUUACUGUUCAUUACAACGGGAACUUUGGAAUAUUUGGGGAUGGAACCCGCCUUGCAAUGCCGAAGACAAACUGCGCACCGGACUCAUCAUCAUUUAAGCCUGGUUCAGGGGCUACUGAGGGAGUCCUAGAUUAGGGGGUAUCCGGACCGCCGGACUAUAUACUUUGGCCGGACUGAUGGACCAUGAAGAUACAAGACUCAAGGCUUCAUCCCCUGUCCGUAUGGGACUCUCCUUUGCGUGGAAGACAAGCUUGGCGAUCCGGACAUUAGAUUUUCUUUGUAACCGACUCUGUGUAAACCCUAUCCCCCCCGGCGUCUAUAUAAACCAGAGGGUUUAGUCCUUAGAGACAGAACAAUUAGAAUCAUCAUAGGCUAGCUUCUAGGGUUUAGCCUCUACGAUCUCGUGGUAGAUCAACUCUUGUAAUACUCAUAUCAUCAAGAUCAAUCAAGCAGGAAGUAGGGUUUUACCUCCAUCGAGAGGGCCCGAACCUGGGUAAAACAUUGUGUCCCUUGCCUCUUGUUACGAUCAGCCUUAGACGCACAGAUCGGGACCCCCUACCCGAGAUCCGCCGGUUUUGACACCGACAAAGGGGUAUAUAUAGCCUCCACACAAAAUCUAACCGUUACACACAACUUGCCAAUCUCAGUGAGACCGAAUUGAGAAACUCGGUCCGACCGAUUCAGCAAAUCUAGUGACCGUUAGGAUUUUCAGUGGGACUGACAUGCAAAGCAUAACGUAAUCUCGGUGAGACCGAUUACACAAACUCGGUAGGACCGAUUUUGGUAAUAAGCUAACCAGAGAGUUGGUCAGGUAAACUCGGUGGGACCGGUUGGCUCAUUUUAAUGAGACCAAAAUGUUAUGAAAAGGAGACAGAGAGUUUACAUUGCAAUCUCGGUGUGACCGAUCGCCCAUCUCGGUGGUACCAAAAUGUUACGAAGGGAAAUAGAGAGAUUACAAUCCCAUCUCGGUGAGACCGAGAUCCCUAUCGGUGAGACCGAUUUGCCUAGGGUUUGUGGCAGUGGCUAUGACAUCUGAACUCGGUGGCGCCGGAUAGAAAGAAUCGGUGGGGCCGAGUUUGACUUUUGGUUUAGGUCAUAUGUGGAUGUGAGGAAGUAGUUGAGGGAUUUGGAGCAUAUCACUAAGCACUUUGAGCAAGUAAGCCAUUAAGCAACACCUCAUCCCUCCUUGAUAGUAUUGGCUUUUCCUAUAGACUCAAUGUGAUCUUGGAUCACUAAAAUAUAAAAUGUAGAGUCUUGAGCUUCGAGCUUGAGCCAAUACUUUUGUCCUUAGCAUUUUGAUGGGUCCACUUUUCUCAUCCAUGCCAUGCCAAUCAUUGAGCUUUCCUGAAAUAUUCAUCUUGAAAUAGCAUUAGCUCAAUGAGCUAUAUGUUGUUAGGAAUUACCAAAACCACCUAGGGAUAGUUGCACUUUCAAUCUCCCCCAUUUUGGUAAUUGAUGACAACAUAUAGAUCAAAGCUUCGACAAAUGAUAAUAAGAGUGAAAAACAUUGUCGCUUUGAGAAGUAUGUGAAUUGUAAGAGCUCCCCCUAAAUGUGUGCAUAUAUUAGAAUUUGCUUUGGACUGCAAAUGCACAAUGAGUUGGGAUCAUGGGUUACUCUUCCAUGUCACAUACAUCUUGGUGGAGCACUCGAAAUGAUAAUAAUUAAAUGAAUGCACUCAUCACCAAGCAAAGUGAAUGAUCAUAUAGAGAUAAAAGGAUAAUGUCAUCCAACAAGCAUUAAGGUAGCAUAUGAUCAAACACAUGAUCAUCCAAGUAUCUCACAAAAUCAUAAAGUAUCUCAAACAAUCAAAUAAAGUCAGCCACCAAAACAAGAGAGAACAAAAGCAACACUCUCUCUUGAAGCCUAUGAUCUAUACAAUUUUCUCCCCCUUUGGCAACAAGUUACCAAAAAGUUCAUAGAAAAAUGCAUAGCACGAAAUCGACUCAGGUGGUGGUGUAGAGAUGGAUCCUUGGACGAAGACUUCGGUUGAUGUGGAUGGAGCUGGUGGAGUAGGUGCUGGAGCUGGUUGCACAGAAGCUGUAGCUGGUGCAGAUGAAGUGGCUCUGGUGUCUGGAAUAGGCACUACAGCUGAUCUCUGACUCCUGGGCACUCUGGCAAAAGCAUCAGUAGUAGUCUUGCCUUUACUCUCCUGCAUGUCAUCCUGAAGUUGCUCAACAACUGACUGUAUCUCAGUGACCUUCACAUCCAAGUCAUAGAACUUCUGUUGCAUGAUCCUCUCCAGGCUCUCUUGGUUUUGAGUCAGGGUGGCCAACCCCUUCUCAAUCCUCAGAGUGGAGGCAAUCAAGUAGCCAAGAUGAUCCUUCUUGCUCUUUAAGAAGUACUGAGAUGCCUCAUUAAUGGUUGGCAUCUUUGCAGCCUUUUCAGUCCUUGUCUUCUCCUUCUUUGCUUGUGCUUGCACAGAAGAUGGUUCAUCUUCAUCCAUUACCACUGUGUUGUCCUCAAAAUCUGGAUAGAUGGGCAUGUGUUCCUUGUCCAAAAGGUAUGUACCAGUGCCCAUCUUGGAGUUGAUUAGCUCCUGGAUCUGUGGGGCAUACCCACAACUUCUCUUCUGGUCUGCAGCAGUCCUCUUGAUAGUUUCCACUAUGAGUCCCAUGACCUUGAACUUUUGAGGCACAUCAAAUAUGUGAAGUAGGUUGAUAGCAUGGCCUCUGAUCAUCUUGUGAUCUCCAGACUUAGGCAAAAGAGUGUGCCUGAAGAUCCAGUUGAUUGUUGGCAAUCCUGACAGAAGGUAAUGUACUGAUCCAAACUUGUGUGUCUCAACAGUAGCAUUUGGGAUCUCUCUGUACAUGUGUGCCAUGGAGUUGCGAUCCUUCUUCUUCUUGGCAUAGACAUCCAAGUAAUCCUCUUUCUCCUUAGGUGCAUUGAUCAACUUUGCCCAUUCUUCAACUGAUGAUUGGUACCUAGUACCUUCAGACAUCCAGACAAUUCUUCCAUCUGGGUAGAAGUGAACUGUGGAGUAGAACUGCAUAAUAAGCUCAUCAUUCCACUUUGUGAGCUUCUGCCCAACAAAGUCAUCCACUACACAAGCAUUGAAACUGUCAUACACCCCUAGAUAAUGCUCUUCAUUCUUCCUGAUGUACUCCCAGUAUACCCAUCUCAUAUCACAUACAAUUGGCUUAGUGGCAGCAGUUGUGCCAUACUCCUUGAGCACCUUCUUCUUGGAAGUGGCCUCAUCCCCAACAGCCACAUAGUCUUCAUCCUCAGAAUCUGAGGUUCUCUUCUUUCUGGCCCUGGUGGCUGCCUUGGGUAACUUGCUGGGUGUGCUCCUACUACCCUCAUCAUAGCUGCUAGAGGGACUAGUGCCCUCACUCAUCUGAACCUGCUCCUCAGACUUGUUCUGACUGUCACUUUGAUCAGACAUGUUGCAAACACUGACAACAGACCCUGUGAAUAGAUAUAGAUGAGGUAGAGUAGAUGAGCAUCAUAAAAUACAUAAGUUUUUGCAACAUAAUGAGUCAAAAACUUAGUUUUAGUUUUCCACAGAAAGCAUUUCGAAUCUACCGAUUUGUAAACUCGGUGAUAGCGAAGCAGCUUUUGGAACCUAAACUAGUGAACUCGGUCAGACCGAGUCAUAGUUCGGUGGCACCGAGACUGCUAGGGUUUCACAAAGUCCUGAACUCGGUCACACCGAUUUGCAAUUCUCGGUCAGACCGAGAAUCACAUGUGCAAUGGCCUUAGCCGAAUCGGUGGAACCGAGUUCUACAACUCGAUUGGUCCGAGAUGGUUUCGGCGAAAACCUAACCCUAAAUUUUCAAUUCACAUCUAAUCUACGGAGUGUUUUUGGUGGAUAAGAUGAUCUCAAUCAUGGCAAGAUUAAUGGCAAAACAAUGUGCUAGGAAUUUGGAGUUAGGAAUAGCACAAAGAUCAAGUCCAUACCCUAGUUCGGCGAUGGACUUGCUACGGCGGCAACGACAGAGGCGAUUCCCGUUGACGGCGGCGGAGACCAGCGGCGGGAGGCAGCUGAGGACGAGGAGGACGAUCCGGAGACCCAGGGAGGCAGAGCAGGCUAAGCGCGGGCGAAAGGGUUCGGAGAAAUUUCCAAAAUUUGACCCGUGGAUACACUACAAAAAAAUACACUUCCGUGAUGAUACGUGUUUGUCACAAUAGGUCGCGUUUUUUGUCAUGCAUGUACAUCCAUGACGCUUUUAUGACAGAAUCAAGAUAGUCAUACCUGUGCUGUUAUAGAAGUGUUCCAUGACAUUACCAAAAUUAUCAUCACGGAAGUGUCCACUUCCAUGACAAUAAAAAGCGCAUCAUAAAAGUGCUUUCGUCAAGGGUGACCGACACGUGGCAUCCACUGUAACGGAAUGCCGUUAAGCUAUCGGGUCCGGUUUUGGAUCCGAUAACCCGUUAACAGCCCGGACCAAUGGGGAUUUUCCACGUGUAAAAUCAUCAUUGGCCGCAGGAAACACGUGUUGCCUCACCGUUGGGACAGAUGUCAUCCACUCAUUGGACAGGAGGCGCCUAUGAUAGGUCGACACGUGGCACUGCCCAACAGUGGCCCAUUCCGGUGAAAAAGGCCGGCCCAGUAAAAAUUAGCAGGCCAGCCCAUAUAAGGCCUACUUGUGUCAGGUCCAUUUAAGCCCACUGCCCAUACGAGAUGUGCCAAUUCGGCCCGUCAACGGUCCGUUAAAGAUUUGACACCAUUGUAGCCCAUCGUCAGUUCGAGCCCGUUAACAGCCCGCUAUAUAUUUGGGCUCAAUAUCGGCCCGAUGAGAUUUCGGCCUGUUAACGGCCCAUUUAAUGGAUGGGCCAAUUUUCAGGAUGUACAUCUUUCUGCCUUUUAGCGACCCAUUUAAAUGUUGGGCUAAUUUCCGGCCCGGUGUGUCUUUUAGCCUGUUGACGGCCCAUAAAUCUGAUGUGCCAUUUGUAGUCGGACCUGAGUUUCAGCCUUUUAGCGGCCCAUUUAAGUGUUGGGCCAAUUUCUGGCCCAGUGUCACUUUCAGCCUGUUGACGGCCCAUAAAUCAGUUGGGCCAUUUGUAGUCGGACCUGAGUUUUGGCCUUUUAGCAACCCAUUUAAGUGUUGGGCCUAUUCCCGGCCCUGUGUGCCUUUCGGCCUGUUAACGGACCAUAAAUGAGUUGGGCCGUUUGUAGUCGGACCUUAGUUUUGGCCUUUUAACGGCCCAUGCCCUUCAUGGUCUAAUACCAGCCCGGUUUCUCUUUCGGCCUGCUAAAGGCCCACAACACAGUUGGGCCAUUUACAAUACGACCUAACUUUCAGCCUCUUAGCGGCCCAUGCUCUUCAUGGUCCAGUACAAGCCCACUGUCUCUUUCGGCCUGCUAAAGGCCUACAAUAUAGUUGGGCCAUAUGUAUCCCAAACUUAGUAACGGCCUAUUAACGGCCAGUGAAAUAAAUUGGGGCCACCUGUUGCCCGCUUCGAUGUCGGCCUGUAAACGACCCGGGAGGUAAGAGGGCCGACCAUUAACUUUCGGCCUAGUAACGACACAUUAACUUAAUGGGCCCACUAAAGUUCGUACAUGUCUUUAGGCCAAAUUAGAUAAUUUGACCCCAUUACAAUGAGCAAUUAUGCACAGGACCAAAACCGUUCAAGCAAUGGUACGACAUACAGGGAAUAACGUUGCACAUCCAGCAUAUAUUACAGGAAAUUACAUCCACUGGGCAAUCAAAGAUUGAUGCCAGUGCAAAUAAAUGAGCAGAACCUAACCAUGUACAACGUCACAAUCUCCAACCUCAGCACAGAUGACGCCCAUAAGCAUGUGGGCAAGUUCUUGCUGCUUUGCUACACUGUCUCUGAAAACAUUGAUCAGUUGUUGUGUCGCACGACUCUGCACCUCUGAUUCAUCCACCAUUUCCAUCAUUGCUUCAGCCAUUAAUUGGUUCACAAACAUACAUUUAUUCAGUUGCAUUCGAGACAGAGGAUACUGAACAGAUUCAGAUGGAGAUUUUGGAAGGCUUGUAUUAUUGAUAGUGGAGAGUGUCUCGACCACUGCAUCAUAACAUAAAUUAGGACGUGAACCAAACAGAUUAAUCAUGAGUUAUUGCCAUAUUACCUGGCCUAGAUUUACUGGAAAGAAACAAUGGGGUUGCCUUGCUGUUUUCAGAGUUUGUCUUCUUAUCUUCAGCAACCUGCACAAAAUUAACACACUAGCAUUGAUAUCAUUGGCCAAGUCAGAUAAUAGGAAAGCAACAUUGACACAACGAACGUUUGGGCAACUAGCCUACACGAAAUUAACACAAUAUGGCAUAGAUAUCAUUAGCCAGGUAAGGUAGUAUGAAAGCAACAUUGACACAAUGAAUGAAUGGGCAACCAGAGAAGAACUACAAUUCAGUAAUGUGCGUGAUAUGAGAUAGUACAUUCAUGCAGCUCAGUAUGCAAAACUACCAGGCAGUUUUCCUUACAAAAAUCAACAUUGGCACCUUUAACAUUUUGCUACAACUAAUUUUAGAUGAGAUAAAGGUUAGAUUCAUGCCGAUUAACAAAAUACAUGUUGAUGUAAAAAUAUAGUGAUAUACAACAGGUACUUACAUCAGCAUUGGAGCACAGAGAAUUCCCGCAAGAUAUUUUCAUCGAAUAGAGUCCCAAUGGAGGAAGUCUUCUAUCGUUUAACCUUAUUUUCUAAAAGAGAGAUGGGUAAGAAACAUGUAGAAAUAUGAUCAGAAUGCUAUAAAAUUUCAUGAUGCGAGGAUACGCACACGCUUCUUAGAAUGGAGUUGACAUUCUUUUGCUGGACUGGAGCGGACUAGUUCUUUGGCCACUGGAAUCUGCUUAUUAUCAGUGGGAGUUGGGUUUCUCUGUGCUGGAGCAGUGUCUAUGAAAAAUGGAGUUGGUUUAUUAUCUCCUGGCAUUUGGAUCUUUUGCAAAGACCUGGUUUGUAACCCUUCAGAUUCUAACAUAGCCGUCUUCCCCUUGCAUGCCUUAUAUAGAAGAAUGGUGAUUUAGUUAUAAAACAUGCUACAGCUGAGAUGGAAUAGGUACUGAAGAAUAGAAAGGCAUGACAUAUUGACAUGUAUUUCCUCCAUCCAGAAAUAAAUGGAUGGGUCUAGGCGUAUUUUAGUUCUAGAUACAUCUAGUUUUAUCCAUUUCUGCGACAUUUAAUCCGCACGGAGGGAGUAUGAUGUAAGUGUUGGGGAACGUUGCAUAAAAUAUAUUUUUCCUACGUUCACCAAGAUCCAUCUAUGAGUUCAUCUAGUAACGAGAGAGAGAGAUACAUCUACAUACCCUUGUAGAUCGCGUGCGGAAGCGUUCAAGAGAACGGGGUUGAGGUAGUCGUUCUCGUCGUGAUCCUAUCACCGGAGAUCCUAGCGCCGAACGAACGGCACCUCCACGUUCAACACACGUACGGUCAGCGUGACUUCUCCUCCGUCUUGAUCCAGCAAGGGGGAAGGAGAGGUUGAUGAAGAUCCAGCAGCACAACGGCGUGGUGGUGGAUGCAGCAGGACUCCGGCAGGGCUUCGCCAAGCAAUUGCGGGAGGAGGAAGAGGUGUAGCAGGGGGAGGGAGGCGCCAAGACUCAGGGUGCGGCUGCCCUCCCCCCUCCUUUAUAUAGGCCCCUUGGGGGGGGGGGGGCGCCGGCCCUGGAGAUGGGAAUUUCCCAAGGGGCGGCUGCCAGGGGGGGUGGAGUGCCCCCCAAGGCAAGUGGUGCGCCCCCACCCUACGGUUUCCAACCCUAGGCGCAGGGGGGGCCCAAGGGGCGGCGCACCAGCCCACUAGGGGCUGGUUCCCCUCCCACUUCAGCCCACGGGCCCCUCCAGGAUAGGUGGCCCCACCCGGUGGACCCCCGGGACCCUUCCGGUGGUCCCGGUACAAUACCGGGUGACCCUGAAACUUUCCCGAUGGCCGAAACAACAUUUCCUAUAUAUAAUUCUUUACCUCCGGACCAUUCCGGAACUCCUUGUGACGUCCGGGAUCUCAUCCGGGACUCCGAACAACAUUCGGUUUGCUGCAUACUCAUAUUCAUACAACCCUAGUGUUACCGAACCUUAAGUGUGUAGACCCUACGGGUUCGGGAGACAUGCAGACAUGACCGAGACGGCUCUCCGGUCAAUAACCAACAGCGGGAUAUGGAUACCCAUGUUGGCUCCCACAUACUCCUCGAUGAUCUCAUCGGAUGAACCACGAUGUCGAGGAUUCAAGCCACCCCGUAUACUAUUCCCUUUGUCAGACGGUAUGUUACUUGCCCGAGAUUCGAUCGUCGGUAUCCCAAUACCUCAUUCAAUCUCGUUGCCGGCAAGUCACUUUACUCGUACUGUAAUGCAUGAUCCUGUGACCAGACACUUGGUCACUUUGAGCUCAUUAUGAUGAUGCACUACCGAGUGGGCCCAGUGAUACCUCUCCGUUAUACGGAGUGACAAAUCCCAGUCUCGAUCCGUGUCAACCCAACAGACACUUUUGGAGAUACCUGUAGUGCACCUUUAUAGUCACCCAGUUACGUUGUGACGUUUGGUACACCCAAAGCACUCCUACGGUGUCCAGGAGUUACAGGAUCUCAUGGUCUAAGGAAGAGAUACUUGACACAUGAGAAGCUCUAGCAAAACGAACUACACGAUCUUGUGCUAUGCUUAGGAUUGGGUCUUGUCCAUCACAUCAUUCUCCUAAUGAUGUGAUCCCGUUAUCAACGACAUCCAAUGUCCAUAGUCAGGAAACCAUGACUAUCUGUUGAUCAACGAGCUAGUCAACUAGAGGCUCACUAGGGACAUGUUGUGGUCUAAGUAUUCACACGUGUAUUACGAUUUCCGGAUAAUACAAUUAUAGCAUGAAUAAAACACAACUAUCAUGAACAAAGAAAUAUAAUAAUAAUCCUUUUAUUAUUGCCUCUAGGGCAUAUUUCCAACAGUCUCCCACUUGCACUAGAGUCAAUAAUCUAGUUACAUUGUGAUGAAUCGAACACCCAUAGAGUUCUGGUGUUGAUCAUGUUUUGCUCGCGGAAGAGGUUUAGUCAAUGGAUCUGCGACAUUCACAUCCGUAUGUACUUUGCAAAUAUCUAUGUCUCCAUCUUGAACAUUUUCAUGGAUGGAUUUGAAAUGACGCUUGAUGUGCCUGGUCUUCUUGUGAAACCUGGGCUCCUUAGCAAGGGCAAUAGCUCCAGUGUUGUCACAGAAGAGAGUGAUUGGCCCCGACGCAUUGGGUAUGACUCCUAGGUCGGUGAUGAACUCCUUCAUCCAUAUUGCUUCAUGCGCUGCCUCCGAGGUUGCCAUGUACUCCUCUUCACAUGUAGAUCCCGCCACGACGCUCUGCUUGCAACUGCACCAGCUUACUGCUCCACGAUUCAACAUAUACACGUAUCCGGUUUGUGACUUAGAGUCAUCCAGAUCUGUGUUGAAGCUAGCGUCGACGUAACCCUUUACGACGAGCUCUUCGUCACCUCCAUAAACGAGAAACAUGUCCUUUGUCCUUUUCAGGUACUUUAGGAUAUUCUUGACCGCUGUCCAGUGUUCCUUGCCGGGAUUACUUUGGUACCUACCUACCAAACUUACGGCAAGGUUUACAUCUGGUCUGGUACAUAGCAUGGCAUACAUAAUAGAUCCUAUGGCCGAGGCAUAGGGGAUGGCACUCAUCUCUUCUUUAUCUUCUGCCGUGGUCGGGCAUUGAGCUGAGCUCAAUCUCACACCUUGCAAUACAUGCAAGAACCCUUUCUUGGAUUGAUCCAUUUUGAACUUCUUCAAAAUCUUAUCAAGGUAUGUGCUUUGUGAAAGACCUAUGAGGCAUCUCGAUCUAUCCGUAUAGAUCUUGAUGCCUAAUAUGUAAGCAGCUUCUCCAAGGUCCUUCAUUGAAAAACACUUAUUCAAGUAGGACUUAAUGCUGUCCAAGAAUUCUAUAUCAUUUCCCAUCAAAAGUAUGUCAUCUACAUAUAAUAUGAGAAAUGCUACAAAGCUCCCACUCACUUUCUUGUAAACGCAGGCUUCUCCAUAAGUCUGCAUAAACCCAAACGCUUUGAUCAUUUCAUCAAAGUGAAUGUUCCAACUCCGAGAUGCUUGCACCAGCCCAUAAAUGUAUCGCUGGAGCUUGCAUACUUUGUUAGCAUUCUUAGGAUCGACAAAACCUUCCGGCUGCAUCAUAUACAGCUCUUCCUUAAGAUAACCGUUAAGGAAUGCCGUUUUGACGUCCAUCUGCCAUAUCUCAUAAUCAUAGUAUGCGGCAAUUGCUAACAUGAUUUGGACGGACUUAAGCUUCGCUACGGGAGAGAAAGUCUCAUCAUAGUCAACCCCUUGAACUUGUCGAUAACCCUUAGCAACAAGUCGAGCUUUAUAGAUGGUGACAUUACCAUCCGCGUCCGUCUUCUUCUUAAAGAUCCAUUUGUUUUCUAUCGCUCGCUGAUCAUCGGGCAAGUCAGUCAAAGUCCAUACUUUGUUUUCAUACAUGGAUUCUAUCUCGGACUGCAUGGCUUCUAGCCAUUUGUUGGAAUCUGGGCCCACCAUCGCUUCUUCAUAGUUUGAAGGUUCACCGUUGUCUAACAACAUGAUUUCCAGGACAGGGUUGCCAUACCACUCUGGUGUGGAACGUGUCCUUGUGGACCUACGAAGUUCAGUAGCAACUUGAUCCGAAGUACCUUGAUCAUCAUCAUUAAUUUCCUCUCCAGUCGAUGUAGGCACCACAGGAACAUUUUCCUGAGCUGCACUACUUUCCGGUUCAAGAGGUAGUACUUCAUCGAGUUCUACUUUCCUCCCACUUACUCCUUUCGAGAGAAACUCUUUUUCUAGAAAGGAUCCGUUCUUGGCAACAAAGAUCUUGCCUUCGGAUCUAAGGUAGAAGGUAUACCCAAUGGUUUCCUUAGGGUAUCCUAUGAAGACGCAUUUUUCCGACUUGGGUUCAAGCUUUUCAGGUUGAAGUUUCUUGACAUAAGCAUCGCAUCCCCAAACUUUUAGAAACGACAGCUUAGGUUUCUUCCCAAACCAUAAUUCAUACGGUGUCGUCUCAACGGAUUUAGACGGUGCCCUAUUUAAAGUGAAUGUAGCUGUCUAUAGAGUGUAUCCCCAAAAUGAUAGCGGUAAAUCGGUAAGAGACAUCAUAGAUCGCACCAUAUCCAAUAGAGUGAGAUUACAACGUUCAGACACACCGUUAUGCUGAGGUGUUCCAGGCGGCGCGAGUUGUGAAACGAUUCCACAUUUUCUUAAGUGUGUACCAAAUUCGUGACUUAAAUAUUCUCCUCCACGAUCUGAUCGUAAGAAUUUUAUCUUUCAUUCACGGUGAUUCUCUACCUCAUUCUGAAAUUCCUUGAACUUUUCAAAGGUCUCAGACUUGUGUUUCAUCAAGUAGACAUACCCAUAUCUACUCAAGUCAUCAGUGAGAGUGAGAACAUAACGAUAUCCUCUGCGAGCCUCAACGCUCAUUGGACCACACACAUCAGUAUGUAUGAUUUCCAAUAAGUUGGUUGCUCGCUCCAUUGUUCCGGAGAACGGAGUCUUGGUCAUUUUGCCCAUGAGGCAUGGUUCGCAUGUGUGAGACUCUAAAAGUCCAUCAGCAUGGAGCUUCUUCAUGCGCUUGACACCAAUGUGACCAAGGCGGCAGUGCCACAAGUAUGUGGGACUAUCGUUAUCAACUUUACAUCUUUUGGUAUUCACACUAUGAAUAUGUGUAAUAUUACGUUCGAGAUUCAUUAAGAAUAAACCAUUGACCAUCGGGGCAUGACCAUAAAACAUAUCUCUCAUAUAAAUAGAACAACCAUUAUUCUCGGAUUUAAAUGAGUAGCCAUCUCGUAUUAAAUGAGAUCCAGAUACAAUGUUCAUGCUCAAACUUGGCACUAAAUAACAAUUAUUGAGGUUUAAAACUAAUCCCGUAGGUAAAUGUAGAGGUAGCGUGCCGACGGUGAUCACAUCGACCUUGGAACCAUUCCCGACGCGCAUCGUCACCUCGUCCUUCGCCAGUCUCCGCUUAUUCCACAGCUCCUGCUGUGAGUUACAAAUAUGAGCAACGGCAUCGGUAUCAAAUACCCAGGAGUUACUACGAGUACUGGUAAGGUACACAGCAAUUACAUGUAUAUCACAUAUACCUUUAGUGUUGCCGGCCUUCUUGUCCGCUAAGUAUUUGGGGCAGUUCCGCUUCCAGUGACCCUUCCCUUUGCAAUAAAAGCAUUCAGUCUCACGCUUGGGUCCAUUCUUUGACUUCUUCCCAGCAACUGGCUUACAGGGCGCGGCAACAUCUUUGCCGUCCUUCUUGAAGUUCUUCUUACCCUUGCCCUUCUUGAACUUAGUGGCCUUAUUGACCAUCAACACUUGAUGUUCUUUCUUGAUUUCAACCUCUGCUGACUUCAGCCUUGAAAAUUCUUCAGGAAUGGUAUUCACCAUCCCCUGCAUUUUGUAGUUCAUCACAAAGCUCUUGUAGCUCGGUGGGAGCGACUGAAGGAUUCUGUCAAUGACCGCCUUGUCCGGGAGGUUGAUCUCCAGCUGGGAUAUGCAGUUGUGCAACCCAGACAUUUUGAGUAUGUGCUCACUGACAUAACUGUUUUCCUCCAUCUUACAACUAUAGAACUUGUCGGAGACUUCAUAUCUCUCGACCCGGGCAUGAUCUUGAAAAACCAUUUUCAGCUCCUCGAACAUCUCAUAUGCUCCGUGUUGCUCAAAACGCUUUUGGAGCCCCGGUUAUAAGCUGUAAAGCAUGCCGCACUGAAUGAGGGAGUAAUCAUCAACACGUGACUGCCAAGCAUUCAUAACGUCUUGGUUCUCUGGGAUGGGUGCUUCACCUAGCGGUCCUUCUAGGACAUAUGCUUUCUUGGCUUCUAUGAGGAUGAUCCUCAGGUUCCAAACCCAGUCCGAAUAGUUGCUGCCAUCAUCUUUCAGCUUGGUUUUCUCUAGGAAUGCGUUGAAGUUCAUGUUGACAUGAGCGUUGGCCAUUUGAUCUACAAGACAUAUUUUGCAAAGAUUUUAGACUAAGUUCAUGAUAAUUAAGUUCAUCUAAUCAAAUUAUUUAAUGAACUCCCACUCAGAUUGACAUCCCUCUAGUCAUCUAAGUGUUACACGAUCCGAGUCGACUAGGCCGUGUCCGAUCAUCACAAGGAGACGGACUAGUCAUCAUUGGUGAACAUCUCCAUGUUGAUCGUAUCUUCCAUACGACUCAUGUUUGACCUUUCGGUCUCUUGUGUUCCGUGGCCAUGUCUGUACAUGCUAGGCUCGUCAAGUUAACCCUAAGUGUUUAUGCAUGUGUAAAACUGUCUUACACCCGUUGUAUGUGAACGUAAGGAUCUAUCACACCUGAUCAUCACGUGGUGCUUCGAAACGACGAACUUUAGCAACGGCGCACAGUUAGGGGGAACACUUUCUUGAAAUUAUUAUAAGGUAUCAUUUUAUUUACUACCACCGUUCGAAGUAAACAAGAUGCAUAAAACAUAAUAAACAUCACAUGCAAUUAUAUAAAGUAGUGACAUGAUAUGGCCAAUAUCAUAUAGCUCCUUCGAUCUCCAUCUUCGGGGCUCCAUGAUCAUCUUCGUCACCGGCAUGACACCAUGAUCUCCAUCAUCAUGAUCUCCAUCAUCGUGCCUCCAUGAAGUUGCUCGCCAACUAUUACUUCUACUACUAUAGCUAACGGUUUAGCAAUAAAGUAAAGUAAUUACAUGGCAUUAAAUCAUUGACACGCAGGUCAUACAAUAAUUAAGACAACUCCUAUGGCUCCUGUCGGUUGUCAUACUCAUCGACAUGCAAGUCGUGAUUCCUAUUACAAGAACAUGAUCUCAUACAUCACAAUAUAUCAUUCAUCAUUCAUCACAACUUCUGGCCAUAUCACAUCACAUGACAAUUGCUGCAAAAACAAGUUAGACGUCCUCUAAUUGUUGUUGCAUAUUUUACGUGGCUGCAAUUGGGUUCUAGCAAGAACGUUUCCUUACCUACGAAUAACCACAACGUGAUUUUGUCAACUUCUAUUUACCCUUCAUAAGGACCCUUUUCAUCGAAUCCGCUCCAACUAAAGUAGGAGAGACAGACACCCGCUAGCCACCUUAUGCAACUAGUGCAUGUCAGUCGGUGGAACCUGUCUCACGUAAGCGUACGUGUAAGGUCGGUCCGGGCCGCUUCAUCCCACAAUACCGCUGAAGCAAGAAAAGACUAGUAGUGGCAAGCAAGUUGACAAGAUCUACGCCCAUAACAGAUUUGUGUUCUACUCGUGCAAUAGAGAACUACGCAUAGACCUAGCUCUGAUACCACUGUUGUGGAACGUUGCAUAAAUAAUUUUUUUCCUACGUUCACCAAGAUCCAUCUAUGAGUUCAUCUAGCAACGAGAGAGAGAGAGAUGCAUCUACAUACCCUUGUAGAUUGCGUGCGGAAGCGUUCAAGAGAACGGGGUUGAGGUAGUCGUUCUCGUCGUGAUCCUAUCACCGGAGAUCCUAGUGCCGAACGGACGGCACCUCCGUGUUCAACACACAUACGGUCAGUGUGACGUCUCCUCCGUCUUGAUCCAGCAAGGGGGAAGGAGAGGUUGAUGAAGAUCCAGCAGCACGACGGCGUGGUGGUGGAUGCAGCAGGACUCCGGCAAGGCUUCGCCAAGCAACUGUGGGAGGAGGAAGAGGUGUAGCAGGGGGAGGGAGGCGCCAAGACUCAGGGUGUGGCUGCCCUCCCUCCCCCUCCUUUAUAUAGGCCCCUUGGGGGGGGGGCGUCGGCCCUGGAGAUGGGAAUCUCCCAAGGGGGCGGCGGCCAGGGGGGGGUGGAGUGCCCCCCAAGGCAAGUGGUGCGCCCCCCACCCUAGAGUUUCCAUCCCUAGGCGCAGGAGGGCCCAAGGGGGGCGCACCAACCCACUAGGGGCUGGUUCCCCUCCCACUUCAACCCACGGGGCCCUCCGAGAUAGGUGGCCCCACCCGAUGGACCCCCGGGACCCUUCCGGUGGUCCCGGUACAAUACCGGGUGACCCCGAAACUUUCCCGAUGGCUGAAACAACACUUCCUAUAUAUAAUUCUUUAUCUCCGGACCAUUCCGGAACUCCUCGUGACGUCCGGGAUCUCAUCCGUGACUCCGAACAACAUUCGGUUUGCUGCAUACUCAUAUUCAUACAACCCUAGCGUCACCGAACCUUAAGUGUGUAGACCCUACGGGUUCGGGAGACAUGCAGACAUGACCGAGACGGCUCCCCGGUCAAUAACCAACAGCGGGAUCUAGAUACCCAUGUUGGCUCCCACAUACUCCUCGAUGAUCUCAUCGGAUGAACCAUGAUGUCGAGGAUUCAAGCAACCCCGUAUACUAUUCCCUUUGUCAGACAGUAUGUUACUUGCCCGAGAUUCGAUCAUCGGUAUCCCAAUACCUUGUUCAAUCUCGUUGCCGGCAAGUCACUUUACUCGUACCGUAAUGCAUGAUCCCGUGACCAGACACUUGGUCACUUUGAGCUCAUUAUGAUGAUGCACUACCGAGUGGGCCCAGUGAUACCUCUCCGUUAUACGGAGUGACAAAUCCCAGUCUCGAUCCGUGUCAACCCAACAUACACUUUUGGAGAUACCUCUCCGUUAUAUGAAGAGAUACUUGACAUAGGAAAAGCUCUAGCAAAACGAACUACACGAUCUUGUGCUAUGCUUAGGUUUGGGUCUUGUCCAUCACAUCAUUCUCCUAAUGAUGUGAUCCCGUUAUCAACGACAUCCAAUGUCCAUAGUCAGGAAACCAUGACUAUCUAUUGAUCAACGAGCUAGUCAACUAGAGGCUCACUAGGGACAUGUUGUGGUCUAAGUAUUCACACGUGUAUUACGAUUUCCGGAUAAUAGAAUUAUAGCAUGAAUAAAAGACAACUAUCAUGAACAAAGAAAUAUAAUAAUAAUCCUUUUAUUAUUGCCUCUAGGGCAUAUUUCCAACAGUCUCCCACUUGCACUAGAGUCAAUAAUCUAGUUACAUUGUGAUGAAUCGAACACCCAUCGAGUUCUGGUGUUGAUCAUGUUUUGCUCGCGGAAGAGGUUUAGUCAACGGAUCUGCGACAUUCAGAUUCGUAUGUACUUUGCAAAUAUCUAUGUCUCCAUCUUGAACAUUUUCACGGAUGGAGUUGAAACGACGCUUGAUGUGCCUGGUCUUCUUGUGAAACCUAGGCUCCUUGGCAAGGGCAAUAGCUCCAGUGUUGUCACAGAAGAGAGUGAUUGGCCCCGACGCAUUGGGUAUGACUCCUAGGUCGGUGAUGAACUCCUUCAUCCAUAUUGCUUCAUGCGCUGCCUCCGAGGCUGCCAUGUACUCCGUUUCACAUGUAGAUCCCGCCACGACGCUCUGCUUGCAACUGCACCAGCUUACUGCUCCACGAUUCAACAUAUACACGUAUCCAAAGUAUUCAAACCCACUGAUAUGAGAUAGUACACUCGUCCAGCUCAGGAUGCAAAACUACCAGGCAGUUUUCCUUACAAAAAUCAACAUUGUGGCCUUUAAUCAUACAUUUUGCUACAACUAAAUUUAGAUCCGAUAAAGGUUGGAUUCAUGCCGAUUAACAAAAUACAUGCUGAUGUAAAAAUAUAGUGAUAUACAACAGGUACUUACAUCUACAUUGGAGCACAGAGAAUUGCUGCAAGAAUCUUUCCUCAUAAACGAUACCAUUGCAGAAAUUCUUCUAUCUGUUAAGCUUAUUUUCUAAAAGAGAGAUGGGUAAGAAACAUGUAGAAAAUAUGAUCAGCAUGCUAUAAAAUUUUAUGAUGCAAGGAUACGCACACGCUUCUUAGAAUUGAGUUGACUUAUUUUUGCUAGACUGGAGCGGACUAGUUCUUUGGCCAUUGGAAUCUGCUUAUUAUUAGUAGGAGUUGGGUUUCUCUGUGCUGGAGCAGUAUCUAUAAAAACUGGAGUUGGUUUAUUAUCUCCUGGCGUUUGGAUCUUUUGCAAAGGCCUUGUUUGUAACCCUUCAGAUUCUAACAUAGUCAUCUUCCCCUUGCAUGCCUUGUAUAGAAGAAUGGUGCUUUAAUUAUAAAACAUGCGACAACAGAGAGAUGGAAUAGGUACUGAAGAAUAGAAAGGCAUGACAUAUUGACAUGUAUUCCCUCCAUCCAGAAAAAAUGGAUGGGUCUAGGCGUAUUUCAGUUCUAGAUACAUCCUUUUUUAUCCAUUUCGGCAACAUGUAAUCCGGACGGAGGGAGUAUGGUGUAAGAGCUAGGGAUACAACAUGACAACACAACAAAAAAAACAC
rnacentral:lncRNA from 1 species